CAAGUUCCCAAUGGCACUCGAGAUUGUUCCUUGUAACUGGUUAUCACUAAGACUAAGGAGCUGAAGACGGUUUAAACUGUACAAGGAGUUGGGUAUGGAUGAAUUGAGAAAAUUGAAACUAAGAUAAAGAACUUCAAGAAACGAGAUGUUCCCAAAGUAAUCUGGAAUUGGGCCUUCCAAAGAAUUGCCACUAAGAUCAAUGGACACAAGACCAUGAAGACUAAAUAUCCACUUCGGUACUGAAGAUAAGCUGUUCCCAGAAAGAUCAAGAACAACCAGUGAUUUUGUAGAAUUAACACUGGUCGGAGAUGGAUCAUUGUCUAAACCACAUUCUGACGAGUGCAACUCUAACAAAGAAGGAAGUUUGAAUGUUAUCUGUACCCAGUCAGUUGCUUUAUGAAGAUCCGCAUAACUCAAAUCAAGGUACUGCAAGGAAGAAAGUCCAGAAACCCAUUGAAGACUUUUUGAUUUGAGAUCAUUACCUCGAAGAUCAAGAUACUGCAACUUUGAAAGAUUCCCCAGGUUAUGAGGAAUUGCUCCCUGGAAUCAUGCUCGAGAGAGGUUAAGAUGUGUUAAACUCCCCAGCAUACCCAAAAAUAUCGGGAUAUGUAUGCUGCUAAAAUCGUUAUAGCUCAAGUCCAGGGAACUGAGAUGCUUCAAGUCCAGCAGUGAAGGAUUUAUUUUGCCUCGUAGUUUUGACCGCUCGUAAGGUGAAAGAGGAGCAGCCAAGUGCAGUUGGUGGACGUGACCUGUUGAGUUAUGGCAGACGACACCAAUCCAUUUACAGCAAUCCCCACCUUCAACCCAAGAAGAUAGCCUAUUUGAAGGAUCAAUAAUAUGAUUCUUGAAUUUCAAAAGAGCUUCUCUCUCACUUUGGAUGCAAAGCACGACGGAAUUGGCAUGACAAAUGGUAAAACAGAAAGCGGGAAUGAGAAGAAGAAAAGGGAAUAAGGAAAUAGGAAGAGGAGUAGUCAUGGUUGCAAUUACCAUGGCCCACAACUCCAAAUGUAUAGACUAAGCUUAGCUAAAACACAAAAAUACAUGAAGCGCAAGGAAGUUUCUUCCAACAAAAUGCAUAGGAAAUUUGGUAUGAAGGGAAAUUUCAAAUUAAUUGCAUUUAAAUUUCCACAAAAUGUAAUAUGAAUUUGGAUUAUUAAAUUAAAGAAAUGCAAUAAAGUUCAGUCAAACAAAAUGGAUGCUAUCAAGGAAGUUUUUUACAAUACCCUAAAAGCAAAAGCAUAAAAAAAGAAAGAAAAAAAAAUGGAAGACAUGGAAUUUUUCUAUUUGGCUAUUACUAUGCAAAAUUUUGAAAACUAAUACUACUUCAAAUUUGCAUAAUGAUUUUUCUGUCUUUAAACAUUUGUCGAAAAUAGAUCAAUUUAUCUUCUAUUAUGCUUUAUUUAAUCUAAACAUUUUUUUUAAAGAGAAGCCUAAUGUAAAUUUUUGAAAGUUAAAAUAUAUUCUAAGUUACUCCACACCUUAUACAUUUGGGGUUCAUUGUCGUACUUUUAUUUUUAAGAAUCUAGUCUAUAUUUUAAAUGUGUGACAUUUGAAAUUAAAAAAUAUAUAUUCACUUUAAUUUUUUCUUAAUUUAACCACUCUUGUUAAAAUAAAUUUUCAAACUAAUCACUCCUCUUAAAAUAAUUUGUUUUUCACUAAUGGAUUGUCGAGCCUCUUCCCUGUGUCUUUGUUUCCAUUGCAUUCUAUUUCAUCAUAUCACAUUCUGUUCUGCGAUAUUUGAGAAUCACCGUCUAACCUCGGUGUAGGUGUUCGGGGUAAUCAUUUGCUCCAUAGUUUUGAGGCUUUUUACAACCAGCCAAUUAAGAGUUCUCAGAUGUACUAGUACUAGCAAAUGCCUCAAAGAUGCAGUCAUCGAUUCUCUCGAGAGGCCACAAUUAUCGUGAGAAAACACAUUAAUUUAAUGACGAGGAGCACAUUUUUUUCUAUGCUACUAAUACUUCUACUUGCUCUGCUAUUCUGCUCAAGCUUGGCUGAGGAAGAUUACGGGGUGUAAAACAAAAAAAAAUGCUUAUUUUAUUUUGUUUUGGCCGGUAAUACUAUAUAUAAAUAUAAAAUAGAAAAGUAAAUAUACGAUAAAUAAUAAAGAAAAGCCACCCCAUUUCGGCAAAAGACCCACGCCCAAGUUCCAUAGCUUUGGGUCCACUAUCCCGAUCAUGAUUUUCCUACCCAAGAGGGAAAGGUCCUUCCCUUUUGGGCUGGUUGUGGCCGAAGGGGGAUUCAAACCCCUGACAUCGUAGUUUGUAGCCACGUGCUCUAAUCCUCUGAGCUACAGGCCCCAUCUCGUCUCCACUAGAUCUGUUCCAAGGAGUACCUUAGAAAAAGAACAUUUCCUCUCCCCAACUAUUUUCGGUUAAGAAGAUGUGAAAGUGUCUUUCUUUCUAUAAGAACGGUCUGUUUCGAGGUGUGAAGUGAGAGAGGGGAUUUCUUGGGGUUUUGACGUUGCACAUUCAUGACACUUUUUUUUCCUGACUUUUGAUUAAAGUUUAGAGACGUCUCUAUAAUUAAUCCAAAACACUUUAUUUUUAAAAAAAACUAGAUUAGAAGAAAAAAAUUAAAAUAUCAACGGAAUUUUUUAUUGAAUCUAUACAUAUUACCGCCCCAACUUCGACUUCAAUGUCAUUUCCACCAUAAGGUACCACCCCAACAUCCAAAGACGAUGAUGAUACCUACAAAAACAAAUAAUGAAGGAUUCAAGCAUUAAUUAUAGAAGAACCAACUCAACCAAGCAACUGCUUUUGCUUGCUUACAUUGUGGCUAAAACAGUACACUGAAACAUAUCUGUACAAGCCCAAAUUUUGCCCGGCCUAAUACCCAAACUUAAUUACAAAACCCAAAAAACAAAUUAAUCCAUAUCAAGCCCAAUUAAACCCAAAGUCUAGCCCAAAUCACAUUAACCCAACUGGCCCAAAUUACACCAGCUAACAAACUUUCAGCAGCAGAAACCCUAGGCACCACAUGCCUGCCCUAGCUGCCGCUCCUACCCCCAAGCCUAUGCCACGCCUCUAGCGCCGCAUGUGCUCUCUGCACUGCACAUCGCCGCCGGUCGAGACUCGCCAUCACCACGCGUCUGACACAUCAAUCACCUGCAACACGCAAGCAAGAAAACAACAAAAGCAACAGACAAAGGAAAAAGACAAAAAAUAGAAGAGAACAUAUAGUUCGGCUAUAAAAAGCCGAAAAUGAAACCAUUGUAAUCCUCUCCCCGAUUUUACGAAUAAAAAGACAGAGCAGAAACUUUUUUUUAAUCUUUCUUUUUCUUUCUUUUUAUUAGUAUUAUUAUUAUUUUUUCUUUAAAAAAAAUGAAAAUAAAAAAGGGAAAGCAAAACUUACCUGAGGCUGAUUCGCAGCCCCGCCGUCGGUGGUCCUUCACCGUCGUCGGAUUCGCGUUCAAAGGAGGGGGACUGAACCAUUUUCUUUCGGACCCUCGGGUCAAGAAAACUCAACCCUUGAAUACGCCGCGAAGCGAGGGCAAAUAAAGGCCAUCUUUUCGUCGCCGGCCUUUGGCCUCGGCGGCGGCGCGGCCAUUCGUUGGCAAUGACCAUGGCCGGAUAAUGGGAGGGGGCUGAGAGGAUCCCAUUUUUUUUCUUUUUGUAACAGAGGCUGCAAAUGAGGGUUUCAAUUUUUUGUAAGUAAUAAAAACAUUUAAACGGCGCCGUUUGAUGGAGAUCUGCGCAUGUUUUGCCCUAAUGGGUAAUUUGCGCAUUUGGUCCUUCCAUCUUGCGCUUGAAGCGCAAUCUGACCUUUGUUUUUUGAUUUGGACCGCGAAAUUUAUUUCUGCUUCAGUCUGGUCCUUUGACCAUGUGCGGUCAUUUGCAUUGAAACGCUGCACUCUAGGAUUGGGGCAUAUUGCCUGAUUAGUCCUCCAGCGUUUAGGCGUAUUCAAGUUCAGUCCCUGAGCUUUUUAUUUACAGUUUGAACCCCCGGAUUUUGGUUUGAUUUUAAUUUCAUCCUUUAGUUCAUUUAAUUUAUUUUUUUAAAGAAAAGGGGAGUUCCUUUAUUAUUUAUUUUAAGUUAUAUAUGUGUAUAUUUUAUUUACCUAAUAUUUUUCUUAUCGUUUGUAUUACUUGAUUUAAGUCAAUAUAAAUACAUGCAUGCAUUUUUAUAAUACACGUACAUAUUUUUCCCAAUUUAUAUGUAUUUAUACUCAUACAUAUAUUCUUUAUAUUUUAUAAUCUAUAUACCUUUUUUAUUUUCAUAUAUAUAUACAUACGUACUCAUAUAUUUUUGUCUAUAUACAUCUUUCUACUUUCACGAAUAUAUACACACUUAUAUAUAUUUUUUAUAUUUUAUAAUUUUUAUGUACAUAUAUAUAUAUUUCUUUUAAAUACAUAUAUACUUUUUAGGUUUUAUAAUUUUAAAAUACAUAUAUACGCACAUACUUUUGACAUUUUUUUAUAUAUAAAUUAUCAUUAUUUACUUACUUAUAUUUUUAUUAUUUUUAAACUUUGAUGUAUACUUACAUUCUUUAUAAUUAUAUCUAUUUACAUUUUCAUCAUUAUUUUAAAAUAUUUUAAUCUCACUUGCUUAUAUGCUUGUUUUCUUGUAUGUUGUUGAUUCAUCCUUUUUUAUUUAUCUUAUCUUUGAUGCUAUUGCUCGUAUUAUCAUUCUACUUACAUCAUCAUCAUUGUCAUCCCAUUAUACCCAUUUUUACUCAGAUUUGUAAAAAAGGAAGAUUUCGAAAAUAAAAGUAAUACUCGGUAUUUGGGAUCUUCGAGAGGAUUGAGCCCUAACGUGUUGGGUUCUCAUUUUCUUCGUCGAAUCUAAAUAAUCGAGAAUCCUCUUUAAAUAAAAAAUAAAUAAAAGCUCAUUAUCAGGAUUUCAAUAUGUUGUGUCCUAACGCAUUGGAUAUGACACGUUUUUUCUCGAUACGAGGAUUUUUCAAAAAUAAAGGCAAUAUUUCAUAUUUAGAAAAUUCGAGAAAAUCGUGCCCUAACUUACUGAGUUUCGAUUUUUCUCACGUUAAUCCUAAAUAACCGAAUAUCCUUUUAAAAUUGAAAUAAAUGAGGUUCAAACAAAAAAAAUAGAGGCAAGCUUACUCUCGAAAAUACGAUGUGUUGUGUCUUAACUUACUGGAUGUGAUAUCUUGUUACUUCGAGAUAAGAAGGCAUUUUUCCAUUUUGAUUUAUUCGAGUAAUUUUAAAAUAACACGCAUAAAAAAGGAUCGUAUUUUUAAAUUCUUUAAAGUUCUCAAUUUUCGACACCAAGACAUUAAGUAAUCAAUUAGGUAGCAAUUUUUGGGCGUAUCGAGGGUGCUAAUCCUUCCUCGUGCGUAACCAACUCCCGAAUCCGUUUUUCUGAAUUUCGUAGACCAAAAUCGUUGUUUUAAUAAAAAUUAAAUCGUUUAUUAAAAACAACCACUUUUCGAGGUGACCCAAUCACACCUCAUCAAAAAAGGAUUGGUGGCGACUCCCGUUUUCGUUUUCAUUUUCAAAAACCAAGUUGACCCCGUUUUCAUCAAAAAAAUGGUGUCAACAGCUUGGCGACUCCACUGGGGACAAAAUAAGAGAGUCAAGCCACGAGUUGAUUACUUUGUCUUUUUGUCGAAAAUGGAUAACUUGGUUUAAAUAUACGAUUCUUUCUUUGCAUUUCAUUCGUCUCUAUUUCGGUUUUUAUCGCCGUGAUAGUUUAAGCUUGGUAUGCUGCUGCAUUGCAUUGCAUGACCUUCGGUCGCACCCUUUUAAGUGGGAGUGAGAAACUAUUCCUUCGUGAGGUCUUCACCUCCGUGCAGGAUAGCGGAUCGCUUUCGGGAUACAUCCGUACCUAUGUCUUCGUGAGAUUUUCAUCUCCGUGCAGCCAUAGGGAAAUGUAUUCCCCUGAACCGAACUCAAUCCGUAUGAGCCUAUAAUGGGUGAGGAUCGAGGAAUCUGUUGGUUCGGGUACCUUUAAUUUAGAACCAAACAUCAUGUAGUGAACCUUAGGAGCCCACCCUAGAUAGAAUCACUUCGAUUCCCUAGUAUUCACCCUAAUAGGUGUUCUAUUUAUUCUUGUUUUAUUUUGCUUUGUACUAACCUGUUUUCUUUUUUUUGUUAUGAUUGCAUUGCAUUUUCAUCAUAAAAAAGAGGUGUUGAUUCACGUUCGGUUGUUAAAUAGAGAGCUUGUCAUAAGGAGAUGGGUUUCUUGAUAAAGUGGAUAAUAAUACGGUUGUCCAAAUAUGAUCCAAGAAAACGUGAUAAAAGAAGGAUGAUAGUUUAAUGGAGGACUACACAACUAUUGCUCCGUUGCCCGAGAAUUCAAGGUGACAAGGAUUAUUCGAGAGUCGCUGAACUUUCGUAAAGAGAAGCCAACGAGCAUCACGAGGAUGAGUGAUUAACGAGUCGUGGCUCGGAUCAAGCAAAAGGGAGAUAGAAGAGACGUUCUUUUGAAGAGAUCGUGAGAUUUAUCUUAACUCUCGAAUGGAGAAGAGGAUCGAAUAUCCUCGCCUAUGACGGCAAAGCCGUAUAUAUAUCCUCUUUAUGUAAAGAGAUUUAUUUUCUAGUCAAGUUGUUCUAAUAGAAUUAAAUCAAGAAUCAACGUCUCUUUUUGCAUUCAUGCAUUUGCAUUCAUGCAUCUGCAUUACAUUGCAUGCAUCUUUUUAUUCAUUAACAUUACAUUUCAUUGCAUACAAUAAAUUUCCUAAAAUCCAAAAGUCAAUUGAGUUCAGAACUUUAGUACAGAGCCAGAUAGAUGAAAAAGAAUUGGAAUUCUUUGAAUAUAUCGAUGGCUUGGAAAGUAAAGAUGUUUGUGCCUUUGAAGAAGGAACUAAAAAAACCUAUCAGGGAUUUGUUUCUACAUCCCUAAAGGCGUUCUAAACAACUGGACUGUCGAGGAUAUUCCUGUAAUUUUUAUGACCAUUUCAGAGUAAUAUUUGGAACGUUUUUAUUGCUCUAAGCUUGGGAGCAAUAGAAAAUCCUUUUGUGAAAAGGGCACAUGUCCACUAUUAUUUAUUUCAACGAAAUGCAUCUUUGUGUCUUGUUUUGGCAAACAUUCUUUUGUUCCUUCCAUUUCAUUCAUACUCAUACCACACAAAUAAUUCCCUUUUAAUUCAUUGGUUCUUUGAGUCUUCUUUCGUUCCCUAGAACAGCUCUCCAGAUAUCAACGAUAUGAGUGACAUUGCUAUUGACUCAGAACUUUCUUUUGAGCAAGAUAUGUGUCUAGAGGAACCUCAAAACUUCGAAGAUGAUCGAGACUGUAGCUUAUCUCCUGAUUUGUUAAGGAUGGUAGAGCAAGUCGAAAAAUAGAUCUUACCUUACAAAAAAAUCAGUGGGAAAUUGUGAGCUUAGGAGAGAAGAAAAAGGUAAAAAUCAGAGCCUGUAUCACCACAGAGAUAAAGCGGGACGUCAUUGAGUUACUCUGAGAAUUCAAAGAUGUUUUCGCAUGAUCAAGAUAUGCCUGAGCUACCAAGACAUGUGGAUGCUGUUGAGGCUAAAAAGUAUUAGAAAAUGUCCAUAAGGGUGUCUACGGAACACAUGCAUUGAUUUUGCAAUGGCCAAGUAAAUCAUGAGAUUUAGGUACUGCUGGUUCACCAUGGAAGGGGAUUGCAUCAGUUAUACCAAGAAACGCCACAAAGGCCAAAUUUACGGGAACAAAAUUCGUGUGCCUCUAUCUAUUCAUGUUAUGACUUUUCCAUGACCUUUCUCUAUGUGGGGGCAUAGAGGUCAUUGAGCUAAUCUCGCCAAAAGCUUCUAGCGGUCAUCGAGUCAUCUUUGUAGUCAUCGAUUACUUCAUUAGGUGGGUGGAAGCUGCUUCAUAUGCCAAUCUCACGAAGGCAACAGUCAGCAAAUUCUUAAAAAUCAUGUCAAUAUGGAAUGCCAAGAAGGGAUCAUAUUGGACCAUGUAUUGAAUUUAAACAACGGCAGAACAUCAAAAGUUUGCAAUUUGUUCAAGAUUAACACCAUAUUGUCCCAAAAUGAACGACUCAGUGGAGGCAAAAAAAAAGUAAAAAAAAGCAAAAAAAAGAACAAAAAAAUAAAAAAAAAUAAGAAAAAAACCUCUACCGGGGCAACUCAUUUCUCACUAGUAUAUGGAAUAGAGGUAGUUUUACCCAUUAAAGUUGAUAUUUCUACCCUUCAAGUCUUGUCAGAGCUAAAUUUGGAUGAAGAAAAUCCAAGCCCGAUAUGUACAGUUAAAUUUGAUUGAAGAGAAAAUGUUGAAAGCUAUCCAUCAUGGUUAAAUGUACCAAAAGCGAAUGAUGCGAGCUCACCAAAAAGGUUCCCCCAAAAAAAAUUCCUUGAGGGGGACCUGAUAUCGAAGAAGAUCCUUCCCAUACAAAAGUACUUUAGAAGAAAGUGGAUCCCAAACUGAAAGGACCUUAUGUGGAAAGUCUUAUCUGGAAAAGCAUUGAUAUUGAUCGAGAUGGAUGGCAAAAAACCUGCCUAAUCUUGAGAAUUCUGAUUCAAGCAAUAAGUACUUCAUUUGAAAAAAAAGAAACGAAAAAGAAAAAAGAAAAUAAGAAUGAAAAAAGAAAAAGGAGAGGCCAAGGUGAAAACCCGCAAAGGGCGCCUUGAGACCAAAGGGGUUUUGAAUUGAAAACCCAGGAAUGGGCAGUUCAAAUUUUGAUUGAAGGUGGGGCAUGCAGUAGUCUUGCCCUCUCUGAAUUAAUAAGAAGGAGAGAUGCUACAUCUUGGUGCAUCAACAAAGUCUUCUAGGACUUCUAGACACAUAUCAAGUUCAAAAGGGUCCUCAAGAAGUUUCGGGCAGAGAAGCUCAUGCUACGAUAUCUGGGGCACCUAUUUCCAUUUUAUUCAUUUUUUGUAUUUUUGACAAAAUACACCAUCUUGAUUAAUUUAUUCUCAUUUUGUAUUCUACCAAAUUUGCUAUCUUGAUUAAUUUGUUCAUUUAGAGCUUUGCUCUCAACAAAUUUCCAUCUUAUCCAUUAUGAUAAUCUUUUUCAUCUUAUACAUCUCGUAUCUCAGCAAAAUUUGCUGUCUUGAUUGAUUUGUUUGUUUAGAGCUUUGCUCUCAACAAAAUUUUAUUUUGUCCAUUUUGAUAAUCUUUUUCAAGCAAUUUUCAUUGAAAUAACGAUUAAUGGACUGACAAUACUCAUGCAGAAGGAGUUCUGCAUAUUACUCUGAAAGUUUCUAAAUAAUACGAGGACCUGAAACAAGACUAUUGUUUAGAACUGACCAAACCUGAGGGUUGAAAACAUUUGAGAAAUGAUGGUCUAAAUUGAGACUAUUUCUUUGAAUCUUCUGUCAAAGAUACUUGCUGAACGAGAAAACAUUAGUGAUAGAACCUUGAUGAACAACGAGCAACGACAACCCAAACUUUAAAAAGGGAUCAUUUUCAUGACAUUCUGCAUUCAUUCAAAUGUCAUUCAUACACAUCUAGUUUGGAGCAUUUGAUUCAAUCUGAUCAUGUCAUCCUAAUCACUAGGCAUAAAUAGGUUCAUAAAAUAGAUUAUACAGGUCAUGUUCCCUAGAGAACAAAUCAGUAAAAACCGAAGACAAACCUUGUCUCUCUUGGUUGUAGCAGAGCUGGUUGAAGACAACAGAUCUUGCCUUCCUGCAUUGACGGCGAAGCAGAUCGAAGACACAAACCUUGCCUCUCUCGGUUGUAGCAGAGCUGGUUGAAGACAACAGAUCUUGCCUUCCUGCAUUGACAGCGAAGCAGAUCGAAAACAAACCUUGCCUCUCUCGUUUGUAGCAGAGCUGGUUGAAGAUAGCAGAUCUUGCCUUCCUGCAUUAACAGUGAAGCAGAUCGAAGACAAACCUUGCCUCUCUCGUUUGUAGCAGAGCUGGUUGAAGAUAGCAGAUCUUGCCUUCCUGCAUUGAGAAUGAAGCAGAUCGAAGACUAACCUUGCCUCUCUCGUUUGUAGUAGAGCUGGUUGAAGAUAGCAGAUCUUGCCUUCCUGCAUUGACAGCGAAGCAGAUCGAAGACAAACCUUGCCUCUCUCGUUUGUAGCAGAGUUGGUUGAAGAUAGCAGAUCUUGCCUUCCUGCAUUGACAGCGAAGCAGAUCGAAGACAAACCUUGCCUCUCUCGUUUGUAGCAGAGCUGGUUGAAGAUAGCAGAUCCUGCCUUCCUGCAUUGACAGCAAAGUAGAUCGAAGACAAACCUUGUAUCUCUCAUUUGUAGCAGAGCUGAUUGAAAAUUCCAGAUCUUGCCUUACCGUAUUUGGCAGCGAAGCAGAUCGAAGAUGACAAAUUUUACCUCCCUGACUAUAGUGGAGUACAUUGAAGCCGAUAACUCUAUCUCCCUGUAUUUGGCAGUGGAAUAGAUUGAAGAUUGUAGAUCUUGCCUUCCUGUAUUUGGCAGCGAAGCAGAUCGAAGAUGGUAGAUUUUACCUCCCUGACUACAGUGGAGUACAUUGAAGCUGAUAACUCUAUCUCCCUGUAUUUGGUAGUGGAAUAGAUUGAAGAUUGCAGAUCUUGCCUUCCUGUAUAUGGCAGCGAAGCAAAUCGAAGAUGGCAGAUUUUACCUCCCUGACUACAGUGGAGUACAUUGAAGCCGAUAACUCUAUCUCCCUGUAUUUAGCAGUGGAAUAGGUUGAAGAUCAAAGAUGGCAGAUUUUACCUCCCUGACUAUAGUGGAGUACAUUGAAGCCAAUAAUUCCAUCUCCCUAGGCAGCAGUGGAAUAGAGUGAAGAGUACAGAUCUUUUCUCCCUAAGCAGUAGUGGAGCAGAUCACAUCCAGUCUUAUCUCCCUAAGCAGUAGUGGAGCAGACGAAAAAAAAAACAAUCUCAUCCCUAUAGAGUUGCAGCAGAGAAGAUUGAAGUCAUAUCUCUCUAAAGAUGUCGUAAAGUGGAUCAAAGCAACAAGACACAGUGGACUGGAGUGAAACUACUUGAAGAAGAGAAGCGUCAAAAGAAGUCGAGACUCGGUGAGACCGGGCAAAAUUGGUCUUUCUUAGUCUUUGCUCUGUUCUCGUUACACGACAACGAGCAAAGAGGGGCAGCUGUACAAGCCCAAAUUUUUCCCGGGCCAAUACCCAAACUUAAUUACAAAACCCAAAAAACAAAAUAAUCCAUAUCAAGCCCAAUUAAACCCAAAGUCUAGCCCAAAUCACAUUAACCCAACUAGCCCAAAUUACACCAGCUAACAAACUUUCAGCAGCAGAAACCCUAGGCACCACAUGCCUGCCCCUAGCUGCCGCUCCUACCCCCAAGCCUAUGCCACGCCUCUAGCGCCGCAUGCGCUCCCUGCACUGCACGUCGCCGCCGUCGAGACUCGCCAUCACCACGCGUCUGACACAUCAAUCACCUGCAACACGCAAGCAAGAAAACAACAAAAGCAACAGACAAAGGAAAAAGACAAAAAAUAGAAGAGAACAUAUAGUUCGGCUAUAAAAAGCCGAAAAUGAAACCAUUGUAAUCGUCUCCCCGAUUUUACGAAUAAAAAGACAGAGCAAAAACUUUUUUUUAAUCUUUCUUUUUCUUUCUUUUUAUUAGUAUUAUUAUUAUUAUUUUUUCUUUAAAAAAACGAAAAUUAAAAAGGGAAAGCAAAACUUACCUGAGGUCGAUUCGCAGCCCCGCCGUCGGCGGUCCUUCACCGUCGUCGAAUUCGCGUUCAAAGGAGGAGGACUGAACCAUUUUCUUUCGGACCCUCGGGUCAAGAAAACUCAACCCUUGAAUAAGCCGCGAAGCGAGGGCAAAUAAAGGCCAUCUUUUCGUCUCCGGCCUUUGGCCUCAGCGGCGGCGCGGCCAUUCGUUGGCAAUGACCAUGGCUGAAUAAUGGGAGGGGGCUAAGAGGAUCCCAUUUUUUUUCUUUUUGUAACAGAGGCUGCAAAUGAGGGUUUCAAUUUUUUUAAGUAAUAAAAACAUUUAAACGGCGCCGUUUGAUGGAGAUUUGCGCAUGUUUUGCCCUAAUGGGUAAUUUGCGCAUUUGGUCCUUCCAUCUUGCGCUUGAAGCGCAAUCUGACCUUUCUUUUUUUUUUGAUUUGGACCGCGAAUUUUGUUUCUGCUUCAGUCUGGUCCUUUGACCAUGUGCGGUCAUUUGCAUUGAAACGCUGCACUCUGGGACUGGGGCAUAUUGCCUGAUCAGUCCUCCAGCCUUUAGGCGUAUUCAAGUUCAGUCCCUGAGCUUUUUAUUUACAGUUUGGACCUCAGAUUUUGGUUUGAUUUUAAUUUCAUCCUUUAGUUCAUUUAAUUUAUUAUUUUUUUUAAAAAGAAAUGGGGAGUUCCUUUAUUAUUUAUUUUAAGUUAUAUAUGUGUAUAUUUUAUUUACCUAAUAUUUUUCUUGUCGUUUGUAUUACUUGAUUUAAGUCAAUAUAAAUACAUGCAUCCAUUUUUAUAAUACACGUACAUAUUUUUCCCAAUUUAUAUGUAUAUAUACUCAUACAUAUAUUCUUUAUAUUCUAUAAUCUAUAUACCUUUUUUAUUUUCAUAUAUAUAUACAUACGUACUCAUAUAUUUUUGUCUAUAUACAUCUUUCUACUUUCACGAAUAUAUACACACUUAUAUAUAUUUUUUAUAUUUUAUAAUUUUUAUGUACAUAUAUAUAUUUCUUUUAAAUACAUAUAUACUUUUUAGGUUUUAUAAUUUUAAAAUACAUAUAUACGCACAUACUUUUGACAUUUUUUUAUAUAUAAAUUAUCAUUAUUUACUUACUUAUAUUUUUAUUAUUUUUAAACUUUGAUGUAUACUUACAUAUAUAUCUUCUUACAUUCUUUAUAAUUAUAUCUAUUUACGUUUUCAUCAUUAUUUUAAAAUAUUUUAAUCUCACUUGCUUAUAUGCUUGUUUUCUUGUAUGUUGUUGAUUCAUCAUUUUUUAUUUAUCUUAUCUUUGAUGCUAUUGCUCGUAUUAUCAUUCUACUUACAUCAUCAUCAUUGUCAUCCCAUUAUACCCAUUUUUACUCAGAUUUGUAAAAAAGGAAGAUUUCGAAAAUAAAAGUAAUACUCGGUAUUUGGGAUCUUCAAGAGGAUUGAGCCCUAACGUGUUGGGUUCCCAUUUUCUUCGUCGAAUCUAAAUAAUCGAGAAUCCUCUUUAAAUAAAAAAUAAAUAAAAGCUCAUUUUCGGGAUUUCAAUAUGUUGUGUCCUAACGCAUUGGAUAUGACACGUUUUUUCUCGAUACGAGGAUUUUUCAAAAAUAAAGGCAAUAUUCCAUAUUUAGAAAAUUCGAGAAAAUCGUGCCCUAACUUACUGAGCUUCGAUUUUUCUCGCGUUGAUCCUAAAUAACCGAAUAUCCUUUUAAAAUUGAAAUAAAUGAGGUUCAAACAAAAAAAAUAGAGGCAAGCUUACUCUCAAAAGUACGAUAUGUUGUGUCCUAACUUACUGGAUGUGAUAUCUUGUUACUUCGAGAUAAGAAGGCAUUUUUCCAUUUUGAUUUAUUCGAGUAAUUUUAAAAUAACAAGCAUAAAAAGGAUCGUAUUUUUAAAUUCUUUAAAGUUCUCAAUUUUCGACACCAAGACAUUAAGUAAUCAACUAGGUACCAAUUUUUGGGCGUAUCGAGGGUGCUAAUCCUUCCUCGUGCGUAACCGACUCCCGAACCCGUUUUUCUGAAUUUCGUAGACCAAAAUCGUUGUUUUAAUAAAAAUUAAAUCGUUUAUUAAAAACAACCACUUUUCGAGGUGACCCAAUCACACCUCAUCAAAAAAAGGAUUGGUGGCGACUCCCAUUUUCGUUUUCAUUUUCAAAAACUAAGUCGACCACGUUUUCAUCAAAAAAAUGGUGUCAACAAUAUCAAUAUCAAUACGUAUCAAAAUCAAUAAAAAUGAUACAUCCAUUAAUACGAUACUGACUUUCUUACUUAAACCAUUUAAUCAUUUUAAGUUAUCGAGUAAAUAUUAUGAUAUUAGAUUAAAACAAUAACAAGUUACUUAAACCAUUUAAUCAUUUUAAAUUAUCGAGUAAAUAUUAUGAUAUUAGAUUAAAAAAAUAACAAGUCAACUUACGCAAUCUUAUUUCUAAAUUGAUAAAAUCAAUGUGGAAAUACAGGCAAAUUUAUUGAUUUAUAAUAAGAGAUUUGCAUUAUCUUUUUUUUUUAUAAAUUAAACAAAGAAUUACAUAGAGUAGCAAAAGAACUGUCAUCCUUUAAGAUUUCUGUAAUCUCUAAAGGGGAUCCUCAAACAUAUGCAAAGAUUCAUCACUCAAUAGAGCCAUUUUUGCCAAAGCAUCAGCUGCUCAAUUAGUCUCUCUGGGAACAUAAAUCAAGGACCACUUCUCUUCAAAGGUUAGGAUUUGUUGAAUCCUCCUUAUCAGGGAGUUUUUUGGACCACCAAGCUUACUUUCACUGAUAGAAAUCACAUUUUCAAGAUUAUUUGAUUGAAUAAUGACCUUGUCGUAACCUUGUUUCUGAAGGAGAAGUAGACCAUCCAAUAAACCCUACAUUUAAGCAACCGCUACUGAACAUUUCCCCAAAAUGCGAUUGUAACCUAGGAUCCACUUCCCUUUGCUAUUGCGUAUCACACCACUUGCAGCAGAGAAACCAGGCACAUAGUGAACAACACCAUCAGUAUUAAGGAAAACACACAUACUUGGAUUUUGACGAGCUGAAGUCUGUUUUGGUUGAGAAACCAACACUUCAUUAUGGAUAGAGAGAAAAUGUUUCACCCAACUAUAAGAGACAUUGAUAAUAUCCUUUAGAUUCAUAGCAUUCCCUUGAAAAAUGAUCGAAUUAUUAUUUUUCCAAAUGCUCCAAAGAAUAAUCCCAAAGAGGCAAGCCCAAGAUGAGUCACUCUUCUUGUUGGUAGAAAGAGAUCGCAAAUUCGAGAAAAGCCACGCCGAAAUAUUAGCAGAAAAAAACUUCCAAGAUGAUUAGCAGGGAUGACAUGAUACCAAAUUUCCCUCGCAAAAGAACAACCCCUAAGGAUAUGAAGGGUAUCCACCAUAAUAUGGCCACAAAGAUGACACAACGCGUCUCACGCAAUAACUUUUCUAACUCUUUCAGAGUUAGUUAACAGUCUUUGUUUAAGAAUUAACCAGAUGAACUGCUUGACACGUUGGGGCACUAAAAUUUUCCAUACCAUACUCCAAUUCACCUUCUUUGGAUUCCAAGACUCCUCCUUCAGCAUAUAAUAAGCACUCUUCACAGAAAAGACAUCGGUCGUCGUUCUAGACCAAAAUAGAAUAUCUGGCCCAGCUAAGUCUAAAGGAGGAGGAAUGCUAAUGAUUCGUUUAACCACUUCUUCUGGCAGCCACAAUUUGAAAAGAUCAAGGUUACAAUCGCCAUUAACCAAAACCAUUUCAUUAACUUUGCUCUCAGGAACAAUGUUGCCAUGACUCGGAACAUAUUGAUUAAGAGGUCUCACAUUAGAGACCAAUUGUCCUCCCAACAACGAACAGUCUUCCAAUUUCCAAUGAACCAGAUCAUAUUACUGCGCAAUGGAGGCCAAGCUUUGGCAACUGCUUUCCACUUAUAGGAGCAACUGUUCCUCAUAAUAGAGUACUCCGACAUACUUUCACACAGUCCAUACUUAACUCUAUGGACCUGAACCCAAAGAGCUUCAGUCUUAGUAAUAAGGCUGUAACCAAUCUUCAACAUGAAAGCUUUGUUCUGAUCCCUCAAACAUCGAAAAUUGAGACUUCUGUGUAGCUUAGGCUGACAGAUAUCAUCCCACCCCAAAGCUAUUUUCCUUUUCCCGUCCGUAGCACCCCAAAUGAAUUGUCUUGCUAAUUCUUCAAUAGAGUCACAAAUUCCUUUAGGGACUAGAGUCGACUGCAUGAGAUAACUUGAGAUAGACAAUAGAACUGAUUGUGCUAAGCUAACCCUUCCAGCAAAGAAAAGUCUCUUAGCAUCCCAACUAUAAAGUCGAAUACGAACUCUUUCCACCAAAAAAUCUAAGAUGCUAUUAGUAACUCUUCGAUGAAAAAGUAAAACCUCGAGAUAGUGACCCAAAUCAUUAACUUCUUGAAAACCAAACAUGUUAUUAAUUUUAUUCCUUAAAAGUUCGUUAACCCCCAUAGAAAAGAACACAUUCAUUUUCCUGGCAUUUACCUUGUGACCAGAUAACUCACAAAAGUUACUCAAAAAUUUCUUGAGGAGACCACUAUGAAUCAAAUUAGCUCGACUAAAAAUCACCAAGUCAUCUGCAAAAAAUAGGUGUGAAAGAUUCGGUCCUAUGCAUGAUAAUCGAAUGGGGCUCCACUCCCCUGAAGAGAUACUCGUGUGAAUCUAUGGCCCAACCAUUCCAUACAGAGGACAAAGAGGUAUGACGACAGAGGACAGCCUUGUCGAAUACCCCUUAUCGGCCUAAACUUUUGUGGUGGCGCACCAUUUCAUAAAACCUGCAUAGAGGAUAACGAGAUAGCAUUCUUAAUAACUUUAACCAAAUGAGAAGGAAUAUCUGCUGCAUUGAGAGAAGCUUUUACAAAGUCCCAUCUGACUAUAUCGUAAGCCUUCUCUAAAUCAAUCUUGAUUGCCAUCCAUUGGAGAUUUUUAUUAGUUCUCAUAGAAUGUAAAACUUCCUGAGCGAUAAUGAUGUUAUAGAUAAUAUUUAUUCCAGCAAUGAAGCCCUCUUAUUCUUAACUUGUGAUCUUCAGGAAGAUAUUCUUAGAUCUAUUAGCAAUGGCCUUUAUGAUCAACUUGUGCAACACAGAGCAAAGGCUGAUAAGCUGGAACUGUGAGAAUUUUUUUGGGUUUGGAACUUUAGGGAUUAACACAAUAAGUGUGUUAUUGAACUCCGGGUCGAUGGAACCUCCCUCAAAAAUCUUCUUGACCCACUCACAAAUAGCAUCCCCAAUAUUAUCCCAUUGAUUUUGGAAGAAAGCGGCAUGAAAAUCAUCACUACCUGGGGCUUUCAAGGGUGCCAUGUCGAAAAGAGCAUCCUUAUUUUCUCGUCCGUAACAUUUCUCCCAAGAAAAUCAACAUCUUUAAUACUAAGGCAAUGAAAAGCACUAGGAGGAAGAAUUCCUAGCGGGCUUGGAUUCUCUCCCAUAAAGAUUCUGGAAAAAAAUUAACCGUUUCGUUCUUAAGAACCUCAGGAUAAAAAAUCCAAUCCCCAUCAACAUUACGUAAAGCAGUGAUUUUAUUGAAAUUCCUUCUCUGAACUAUGCGUCUAUGGAAGUAGCUAGUGUUACGGUCCCCAAUUUAAGCUACUCGAAUCUUGAUUUUUUCUUCCAGAGCAUGUCCUCAUGAUGAAGAAUAUUUUCAAGCUCAUCUCGAAUCAUUAAUUCCUGAUGAAUAAGAGAAUUAGACCCCAAAAGGUCCAAAGGCAUGCUGGAUUUUAGAAAGCUUAUGCAUUAACUGCCUCUUCCUCUGGUUUAUAUGUCCAUAAACACAGUUGUUCCACCUUUUAAGCUUAUCAGUAAAACUAACAAUCGCACUAGUCAUAUUAUCAUCUAAACUCUAAUUUCCCUUGACAAAAUUAGAGAAAUUUUGGUGGUGCAGCCAGCCAGCUAAGAACCGGAAGGGACGAUUAGGAGCAUAUCUAAAUUCAUGGAAAAAAUUUAAAAGAAGCGGUCAAUGAUCAAAUUUUAUUCUAGGUAAAUGGGAAAUCGAACAAUUAGGAAAAGAUUCCAUCCAAACGUCGCUACCCACAGCCCUAUCAAGUCUUUCGGAGAGAUUGCCUCGAUGCCAUGUAAAAGGAGGCCUUUGAAAACCCAUAUCAUGCAAUUGAGCUUUAUCCAUAAACUCACCAAAAAACUGGCAUCUGCGACCUUUGACAUGAUCGCCUUUUUUAUCAUUUGAAGAGAGGAUGGUGUUAAAAUCUCCAAUGGCCAUCCAAGGAUCAUACCCAAGUGGAAUUGAGCGACUUAAAUCAUUCCAAAAAUUUUCCUUUUCAGUUUGUCAAGGCUCCCAUACACAAAAGCAACAAAGACCAGAUUAGGAUACAUAUUAGAACAAAUAUGAGCCAAAAUGAAAUGAUGAUGAUUACCAACCACAUUCAAAUCAAUCAAAAUUUUCCAUCCAAUCCAAAUACCUCCAGAAAAUCAUACCACUUCCACACGAUGAGACGUAUCCCAGCCUAACUUUGCAAUGAUAGUGUCAGCUUUGGUCCCACUAAUUCUUGGUCCCACUAAUUCAUAGAAUCAGCAAAUGGAACCCAGAUAUUUUUAAAAUUUUUGUAACGAUUACCUGGUCCUUUUAAAGUUUUAUUAAGUUUCCAACCUCCUUUUAUACCAGUCACUUUAGCAUUUUGUCCCUUAAAAACCUCCCUAGGAAAUUUAUUCCAAACGAAGGACCAUCACCCCCAUCUCCUCACUCACGGUCUCCAGAAUAUUUCUAUUUGUGAACACAACUGCCGAAUGAUUUUUGACCUCCAAAACGCCUUCCUUCACCUCCACAUUAACAAAAGAAUUCUUUUCAAAAGCAGGAUUAAAGUGCACUACAUGUUCUACUUGCUUUUGGAGAGAAAAAUGGGGGUCCACUUGUACUUGAUCUGCAUCAACAACAUUUUUUGAAUCUAAAACUAAAGGAAAAAAAGAGACAGAAUUACCUAAAAUUAAAGAUCAGUAGUUUCUUUCAGCACUUGGCAAAGAAUCAUGCGUGGCACUAGAGAGUUUAGACAAGUCUACUGCAGAUUCUUUCGGAUCCUGGACCUCUUGCUGCAACCCACUGCUAACAUUGUUAGGGGCCUGCUCGUUACUAAUCGAAGGAGUCAAAAUUUUUACCGCCAAAGAAACCUACGGAUCUGGGCCCAUCUUAGUCCCACCUGUGGAAUGGUUAAUCAGAAGGUUAGUGGCCUGAGAGACACAGGCUUGACCCUUUAGAUUUUUUCGCACCAACAGGCCCAAGUUGGAUUUUUUAGAACCAUCACUAGCAGGUUUUUUACCCUUUGAAGGUUUAGCUUGGGAACCAAUUAAAACAGCUUUCCCUUUUUUCUUCAAAUCUUUCUGGGGUUCUUUAAUCAUUUCCUUUUCCAUUGAAGUCGCCUCCAAAUUAACUAAAGAUUGAUAAUGUGAUCCCAUAGUUUUCUCCCCUUUAGAAUUGUUUCCUUUUUUAGUGCCAUCCAAGGUGCCGCGUCUGGUCUUCCGCUCCACUAGCAUCUAGGGACCAUAGUAUCCAGGGACCAUAGUCUCCUUCUCCGGCUGCUGCAGAAAUUACAGCAGCUUAUUCUGAUGACUCACCCUUCUCUUUUGCCCCUGAGGUUUGUGUGACUGAUGAAUAGGUUUCUUUAGUAUGACCAUAACAACCACACUUAAAGCAAACCACAGGUAGGUUUUCGUAUUUUAUCCUUUGAGGGCUAACGGUCACCGUAAAUUGACAAAAACUUCCAUAUGAGCGUUUAAAAAUGUCGCUAUAGGCCUAAAAAAAUACCGCUAAAAGCCUGUUUUGCUAUAGUGGUGUUAAAAUCCAACUUUGUUACUUUACCUAUCAUUCCCCCAAUCUUCAUGUGAAUCUAUUUUUAUAAAAGUGACUGGGAAGAUCGGGAAAACGAAUCAAUGUGAGAACCAAAUUAGGGUAAGGUAAAUUGGGAUUGAAAUCAAUCGUCCAAGGCUGGACGGUAAGGUAAUGACCGAAAAUAACCCACGGACCCUGAGAAAUGAUCUUGUCAUAGUCUUCAUGCUCUGAAAUUUUGCAAGAAAAUAACCAUUCUCAAUAUCCAUUAAUUGAAAAGGCUUAGAUGGUCUCCAAAUCCCAUAUAAUCUAUUUUGCAAAGUCGUGAUUCCAAGGUUUCGUCCCAACAUCUUGAGUACCACAGAGGUUGACAUUUUCUUUUCCAAAAGUUGAUAAACUCUCUUUGAGAAAUCAAUGGAAGGGACACCAUCAACAAAAGAUUUCUUGACAUCCUGCUCUGUAAGGGAGAAAUUAUUAGCAAAGUAUUGGCCAUCACUUUUAUUAAUCUGAUCAAAAGUUUCCUUCGCCACUAGCAUAUCCUUCCAUGACAGCGAAGGCAUUGGUAGUGGAUCCACAACCAUCACAUCUUCAGGAGUCGCGUCCGACUCCUUAAAUUGAACCUUCUUUGUGUUAGAAUCCUCAGGAAUAGAGACAUCUUCUCUAUUCCCGUUCACAGUAGCAACCGAUGAAGACGAGAGACAUCUUCUUUUGGGAAAAAAAAGGCCGGCAUCGUCCAUAGAAUCAGUCAAUUUUAAUUAAUUAAAAUUUUCGUAUAUAAAUAUCAAAUUAUUUUCGUAUAUAACACUAUUUUUACUGUGAUUGAGCAACUAAGGUCAGUUCUUUAUUGAGUCUAAGUUCUAAAAAACACUUUCCACCGCAAAAGUAAUAAAGAAGGCUUGAUUUUUAGAGUCAAAAUUAUGAUGAAAAAGUGCUUAAUUACUUUUAGGUUUUGACUCAGUGGCGGAUCUACGUAGUGGGGUUAAUGGAAAAUUGUCCAUUUAGAUAUUUUUAAAAAUUUUAAAUUAAUAAAAAUAAAAUUACACUUCAACCCUUCUUAAAAAUUUGAUUUAAUCUUUUAAAAAUUAUAAAAAUUAAAAUUUAAUUUCAAACUCUAACCUCCCCUGUUUUAACUUUUAGAUUUUAAAGUAAAAUUAUCAAAAGCUAAUAUUUAGAUAAAUUUAUAAUAACUAUAGUUUUUGACCAACUAUUAUAGUAAUAAUAGAUGAAAGACGAUCAUAAAUUAUGAUUUCCUUUUCUCUGAGAUCAUUCAUUGGAAUUUUCAAUUUUUUUUAUUGCACAUAAAGUUUCCUAUUUAUUUCCUCUUCACAAUCACAGAGGACAAAUGGUUUCGUCUUGAGUUUUGUGAAUAAAGUUUUUGUUACCAAAAUUUAGUAAAAUUAUUUAUGUUUUUAAAUCUAAUCGGCCCAUAAAUCAAAAUGGAUUGGCCCUGAGCUCACAACAGAAAUAUUUAGGAGGAAAAUGAUUUCUACGUUUGUUUCAUUGAAAAUGACUUUCGGAAAAUGAUUUACUUUUCUGAAAAAGCUAAUAUUUUCUGGUGUUUGGAUAAAUCUGUGUAAAAUAUUUUCUUUUGUUUGGCAGGUUCUUUAAAAAUAUUUCAUAAAAGUCGUUUUCAAUUAAACAAACAUACAUUUGAGAUUUUUUUUUAUUUUUUUAUUGUUUAAUUGAGUUUAUUUUAUAUUUAUAAUUUUAUAUUUAACAUUGUUUUUACAUAUAAUAAAAUUAUUUUGUUAAAUUUAGGUUCAUUGCAACGAUUAUUUUUUAGUUACAUGACUAUCAACUGAGUAUUUUUUUAUUUAAAAAUAUGACAUUAACAUGUCAACAGUUAGACUUGAUUUUCAAAUUUGGAAAGUAGAGAGAUUAAAUUCUUGAAAAUAAAAGUACAGAAACUAAAUUGCAAAUUUGUGAAGAGUAUAUAGACUUAUGACAUAUUUUAACAUUUAUAUUACAAAACAUUUAUUAUUAAUAUAUUUAUAAUUGUAAUAAAUAUUUAGUAUUAAAAUAUUAAUAUUGAUAUUUUCAAUAAUAUGUGAAUAAUAUUAUUUAAAAUUAUUAUUUUUAAAAUUUACUAUUAAAAUAAAAUUUAAAUAUUAAAUAAUUUAUUAAAAAUAAUAAAUUAUUUUAAUUAUAUUAAUAAUUUAUUAUAUGGCUAAAUAUAAAUAAUUAAAUACGUAUGUUUAAUAAUAUUAAAAAAUAUAAUAUUUUAUAUUAAUAUUUUAAUAAUUUUAAAUAUUUUUAAAAAUAAAAAUAAAAUUUAUUAUCAAUAUAAUAAUAUUAAACUUGAUUUAAGUUAAUUAUUAUAUAAAAGUAAAAUUAUCUAUUGAGGAGCUCUUUUCCGGAAGAUGACUUAUGUUUUUCAAAAGGGUAAGCCAUUUUACAAGGAAAAAUGUUUAUUUUCCGUUGACCAAACUGUUUUAUGUGAAACAAGCACAGGAAAAUGCAGAAAAUAUUUUUCGUAAAACCUUUUACAUAUAAACAAACGGACCCUAAUUUUUUUCUUUUGGUCCAAAAUGUUUAGAUUUGGGAUUUCAUCCUUUUGGAUAUUUAAAAUUUCAAGUUUACCUUUAUAGUGUUUUAAAAUAAAAUCUGAAAAUUUUUCUCUCGUGUAAAAAAAUAUUUAUGACAUCAGGGGUGAAGUCAAAAAAUUAUUUUUUGGGAGCUAGAAUUAAAUUAUAUAUUUUUAUCGUAAAAAUAUAAUUUCACCAUUUUAAUAGCCUAUAUCCUUAUAAUUUUUAAAAGAUUAAAUCAAAUUUUUAUCAAUUUAGAGGGACUAAAAUGUAAUUUUACCAUUACUAAUUUAAAAUUUUAUAAAUUAUAAAGGGGUCUAAAUGAAAAAAAAUUCAUUUUAGAGGGGUGGGCCCCUGCCAGCCCCCUUGGCUACGCGCAUGUAUGGAAUAAUGUCAAGUUAAGCCCUUAACAUUUACAUUUGUUGUAAAUUUGACCCUUAUUUUUUUGAGCUAAAUUUGGCCACUAAUCUUUUAAUUGAUAUUAAUCAUAUCAAUUUAUUUGAGUAAAAUAUUUUUAUAAACUUAAAUUAUUACUUUUAAAAACUCAUGGUAGUUGUACAAUUUGUAUCAAUCGAAAUGCUCCCUUUCAAUAGUAAACUAGAAUAAUAAAUUUUAGGUCUCGUUCCAGUGCAAAUUUCAAUUGAUAUUAAUCAUAUCGAUAUGUAGUGGUUAAUUUCACUUAUACCAGCCAUAAAAUGAUGUACCAUGUUGAUGUUAUUUGUUUUAAUUAUUUUAAAUUGUGUAUGUUGUUUAGUUUAACUUUAUGAUGUAACUCAAGUUUAUGUUUUCUUAAAACAUAUAAUUUUUACACGUUAAAAAAUAAUAGUAAAGCCCCUGCGAAAGCAGGGGUUAAUUCUAGUUAUAGGUGAAAGACCACGUUAUUGACCCAAAAGUUCAAUUAUGAUUUCCUUCUCCAUGGCAUCAUUCACUGUAAUUUUCAAUUUCUUUUUAUCAGUUUCCCAAAUUUCCUAUUUAUUUCCUCUUGACAGUCACUGACGACAAAUAAUUUCAUGUUCAGUUUUCUCAAUUAAGUUUUUGUUACGAACGUUGCAAAAUUCCCUAUUUAUAGAACAUUUAUUAUUAACUUAACAUAAAAUCUAAUAUAGUAGAUGUUAAUUAUGUAAAUACAAAAGAUUUUAUUAUAUUAUAUUGUUAGGUAUGAUACUAUUUGAGAGAAUAGAACCAGAAUAAGUACUAAUGAUAGCUCACGAGUUAUUUAAUUUGAGACAUUCAAAUCUUUAAAAUAUAGUUAAGUGGACAUUUUCUCAUAUUAACAUCACCUCAAUAUAACAUAAAAAAAAGAGGUUAAAUUGUAUUAACAUUUUGCAUACUUUAUAACUUUAUUCGUAAGCGGAAAUAAGAUGAUUUAUAUUUUGAAGAGUGCAUGAAAAAGGAAGAACUUGAUAAUUUUAAUAAUAUAAAUUCAUGUUAAAAAAGGAGUAUAUAUAAAUGUUAAAAAAAGGAAUAAUUCAACAAAUAUGCAAUGUUAAAACAAUUAAAUAACAUUGUAUAUGAUUUUUAUUACUCUUGUUAUUUUUAUUAAUAAUUGUAUUAUUGACUAUUUUCUUAGACUAACAUGUUGCUUAUAAUGAUCUGAUUUCAAUUUUUGUUACUCGUGUUAUUAAUAUUUGGUUCCUCUUAAAUGAACCAAAACAUCAUCUUUUAUUCAUAUUAAACGAUCUCAAAAAACUACUCUUAUCGAAUUACGUUCCAAACAAUUAGCGAUUUGCACAGGAGUUACGGUUUUGUUUCUUCAACUAGUGGCAUUUGUCGGUUUGCUUUCCUCCUACACUUUUCUUUAGUUUUGUUGGGAUUCUUAGUUUCUAGGCGUUGUGUUGCGUGGCAGCCUCACUGUCAAUUUGGCUUGCGUGUAAUGCUUUUUGUUUUGAAGAGAAGAGCUGGGAUGUUAAUGAUACCAUCUUCCUUGUAAAGAUCAGAUCCUUGUUUUGGCUUCGAGCUUCAUAUGUUGAUCUUAACCUCCGAGAAUCUAUUUGGUGGGAGUGUCCUUUGUUCUUAUCUCCAACAACCCCUUCAAAGGAUUCGAAUAGGUAUUUUUUUGUUCCCUCCGCCUUUUAGCUGCUUUAGAGUCAACAUUCCAGGGGGACCAAGUCCCGCCGGUUUUGGUGUCCUUUGUCCUAAUAUUUUCUUUAAUAAUUAAUGGAAAACAAAAAAAAAAAUUAUAUGUUCACCGUCUUAAGUAUGGCUUGAAUUCGAGUCACGAUAAGUGCAUUGCUAUUAGGACUUUGCUCUCUUUUUGUAAAAAAAAGAAAAAUUCCAAUCUAUGUUUGGCUCUUACCUAAAAUAUUUUAGGCAUUCUAUGGAUUUAAUUGUUUAGUGAAAUUAUAACUCUUACAAUAUAAUUAUUACACUUCCAUUGAAAGUUAACUAUUUUAUAUCUAAUAUAGAAAUUCUUAUUCUUACGUUGUUGUUUAAAUAAUAACCGAUAGUUAUGGUCAACGAAGGUUUUCUUAUCUUCCAAUAAAUUUAAUUUAAGAAUUUGUCAAUAAAUUUUAUAUUUUUCUUGUCAACUUUCAUAUAUUUAUAUAUAUAGGCAUACAUGUCGUAGAUUUUCUUUAACAAUUAUUUGAAAAAAAAAGAAAUCAUAUUUUUUUAUAUAUUUAUUUUUAUAUCCCUAUUCGACUUGGACGUGGUGAUGUGAGAAGUGAUAGUACCUAUGGACGACCCUCCGUCUUCUGUUAUUUUGUUGGCCUUCCAGUGACUAGCCACCCGCGUGUCUCAAAGCCUCCAUAAAGCCAAAUCAUCUUGGGCCACCCACUAUUAGUGCGUACGCACAUAUACCCAAAACGGGAUAAUUGAAGCCAAACAACCACAUACUACUUCACAAAAAGAAUGACAAAGCAAGCCAAAUUUAUCACUUGAUAGAUCACACGAGUAGUCCAUCACCCAUAUUGUCAGUGACAUAGCACUGUCAAGCAUGGAGUCCUUCCCCAUAAAUACCCUAGGGCACGAUGAUAGUAGGAUCUUUUCCCCUUCAGCAAACCUAAGCACCGCACCUAGCAACAAUCUACCUCUCCUCUCCUUAUCUCUUAUCUCCUUUAACUCCUUCACUCAGGCUCUCCACCUAAUUAAGGUGAACCAAUCUUCUUGUCACCACCACCAUAUUCUUAUUCUCUCCUCCCUUAUUGUAUCAUAGUAUCAAUAUCUAUAUCUAUAUACAAUUUCAUAUUUAAAAAAAAUUUCUAUGUUCAGAUACUACCAAAAAAGAAACUCAAUGUAAAUAGGGCAAUUCUGUGAACUCAAAUAUUUUUAGGCAUUUUAUGGAUUUAAUUAUUUAGUGAAAUUAUAGCUCUUAUACAAUAAUUAUUGUACUUUGAUUGAAAGCUAAUUAUUUUAUAUCAAAUAUAGAUUUUUUUGAUUCUUACACUAUUAUUGCCUACUGUUCAGACAAUAAAGUAAAUUUUGAUACUGUGGUCAACUAAGGGUUUUCUUUCCUUCUCAAAUAUUUAAUUUAAGAAUUUUCAAUGAAAUUUAUAUAUAUAUUUGUUGGUUUUCAUACACACAAUCUCAUACCUUUUUCUUUAAUAAUUAAUGGAAAACAAAGUUAAGGACACAUGAUUAAAUGAUCCUAGUUUUUUAUCAGACAUUGUGGCCAUACUAAUCCGUUUGCGGAUUAGGAAUAUACUGCUUUAUUAAUUUUAUUAUAAAUUUCAAUAUUUUGCAAUUGGAUUUAGUAGUGGUACAAAGUAACAUCGACCUCGAGACUGGCAUCUCCAGUCCUGGAGUUGGAAGAAGUGGCCCGAAAUAGUGCAAACCCUGUGGCCAUCCUAAACGCACCUGUCCCUCCCACUAUUGCCAUUUCACGAAUUACGUCAGGGCCAGGAACAAAAUCUGUGAGGGGAUAUCGUGAGAACAAGCUAAAGGAGCUCCCCUUGAACUUGCCAAUGGUAAACGCAAAAUCAGCGUAAAAAACCGCCGUGAACUUGGUAGGGUCUCGACUUAGUGCUAGGUACAGCCCUUGGGCAUUUCCAACCAUCUUGGAUGUUCGUUCAGGCUCUAGAGUGAGGGGAUCAUCCAUUGAAUACAAGCUUCCGUAUGGGGAUGGGGAAAAGAAAUCUUGGGUGAUGUUGGCCUGAGCUAUGAGGAACAGGGAUUUAAAUAGCGGUCCGUUACCGAAAUAGCGGCCGUUAUAUAGCGGUAGCGGCACCGUCCGAAACCGCUACUGCCGAAACCCGCUAUACCCGCAAUACACAAUAAGUAAUGUAAAAUUCACGACCGCGAUACCUGCAAUGACCGCAAUAGCAUCCGUUAUGUCCGCAACCACGAUAAACGCAAUGCGACCGAAAACGCGACCGCGACCGCAAUUUAAAUCCCUGAUGAGGAAUGUAGUAGGAUUUUUACCACUGGGAAUAUCGUGGUAGAAGAAGCGAAGUCGGGUCAUCUUUUCCACCCGAGGACCUGCCUUGAUAGUUUUGGAGUAGUAUUGGCCAUAGACCGGUGCUACGGCGAGGCAAAAUAUCAUUGCCCAUGCAAAUAUCAUCUGUUUUUCCAUUUUUCUUCCAAAUGUUUACCUCUAUAAUAUUUGGUUUUGACACUUCAAAGUAAAGGAAAAACAAUUGGUUUUGUGCUUCUUGCUUCACACAGUUGGGGUUUAAAUAGAAUUUGUGUUGGAUUUUAAAAUUGCUUUUUUUUUUAAUAAAAUAGUUGUGUGAAAGCUUGAAAUUCAUGUGUCUUAUUUUAUUUUUGAAAUCAUAUGGAUGAAAUUAAUUGUAGAGAAGAGUGUAAUUGUGAUUGAAGGAUUGAAGUUUUAUUUAAUGAGACUUUACUUACAAGUUGAAAGCUUUGAAUAUUGAGAAAUACCCCAACGCGAGGUUAUUAUUCAAAUCUAGAGUCUCAAGACAUUGGAGAAUUUAGGCUUAGCUCCUAUAACUGAAAAUUCCUCAUUUAUAUAUAUGAUUAAAAUACUUUUAAAAAACUUAAAAUAUUACUUUUAAAAAAUCAAAUUGAAGUCAAGGAGAAUUCAUUAUUAAAAUCAAAUUAAAGUCAAGGACAACACAUUAUUAAAAUCAAACUAAAGUCAACGUGUGUGGCAACGAUAAGCAACAUCCUAUAGCUUCAAGUUUUGCCACUAGUGGAAAAGUCUCAUCAAAAUCUAUUCUUCUACUUUAGUGUAGAGAUGCGUAUGGGUCAGGUCGGGCUCGGGUCUAAAAAAUAGGUCUAAAAUUUUGCUCAAGUCCGUCUAUAUUAAUUUUUAUAUAAUUUUAAAAUAUAUAUAAUACAUCAAAAAUACUAAAAAAUCAAAAUAAAUAUUUCCCAACAAAUUGAAAAUAAGUUUUAAAAAAUAUGUAUACUUAAAUAACACUAAGAUAGAUGCAACUUAAGAAGCAAAUGUCUCUAAAAUAAUAACAAAAUUAACAAAUGUCUUUAAAAAAAUAACAAAAUUAAUAAUAAAAUAAGUUUUAUACAAUAUCCAAACAAUAACAACAAAAUAGUGACAACAUAAGAGUAAAAUGGUAGCAAAAUAGGGAGAAAAUAACAAGAAAAUAAUAUUAAAAAUAUAUAUAUUUGUCCUUUAGUGAAUUUGGGUUAGGCCCGAGCCAAAAAUGCCUUACUCGAGGCCUGACCCGUUUUUUAAACGGGCCUUAUUUUUUUAUCCAAGCUCAUUUUUCGGGCCUAUAUUUUUGCUCAAACCCUCCCACAUUUCGAGUAGCCCGGCCCAUGAGCAGGUCUACUUGAGUGUAUCCCUCUGCAUCUAAUCUUGCUUUGUUUCUUGUAAUAUUCUCAUCCUCGUUAGUUUUUCUUUCAGUGAUUUGAGUGUAAUUUACUCUUAUAAUUUUAUGUGUCUAAAAUUACUAUUCUUUUUUUGAAAGAAAAAAAAUUCAUUAAUGAGAAAGUUACCGAAUUUAAAAUUUCAACUCAUGAUAAUUAUGAUUGUUUUGGUACUGUUUGUAUCGACUGAAACGCUCUGUUCUAAUAACAAAGCAGAGUAAUAAAUUUUAGGUCCAUAUAAAUUUUGGAUGGUAUCAGCCGCAUUGGUGCAUACCAGUUGAUUUCACCCUGUACGAGAUGUACCAUAUUUGUUUUAAUUAUUUUUAAUUGGGUAUGUUAUAUCGUAAUGCAUUCCAUGUUUAGUUUAACUUUUAUCAUGCAACUCAUGUUUAUGUUUUUUUUUUUUUAAAAAAAAGUUUUUACGCGUUAAAAAAUAAUUGUAAAUCCGCUGCGAAAGCAGGGAUUUAUUCUAGUAAUAGAUGAAAGUUCACGUUAUUGAGCCAAAUUUUAAAUUAUGCUUUCCUUCUAUGUGAUAUCAUUCACUCGAAUUUUAUUUUUUAUCAGUUUCCCAGAUUUCCUAUUUAUUUCCUUUUGAUUUUCACCCGUCCAUAAAAUAUUAUUAGUUUUUAACAUUAAUCUCAUUAUAAAUUCUUAUAAUAUUUAUCAAUUCUUUUUGAUACAAUGCUUAAAACUACUCAUAGUCCCUCCCAACCUUUAAAUAGGAGGAUAAUAUUGUGCUUCAACGCACUCAAACUCACAUCCUCUUGCACUGACAACAAUGUCAAUGUCAGUCAAGUUAAGACUUAAUCGGCUUAUAAAGAUUAUUUUAAACUUAAUUACUUACUAUAAAAAAAAACAUUAAUAACUUAACAUAAAUAUUUUUUCAAGUUAAGUUUUUAUAAUUAUAGCUAUAAAUUAUUUGCACCAUAAACCCUAAUUUAAUGUGGUAGGUGUUAGUUAUGCAAAUACAAUUUUAUUUUAUUUUUUGCACAAUAUCGUUGAGUAUGAUAUUAUUUGAGAGAAUAGAGUGAGACAUAAGCACUAGUGAUAGCUCACCGAUGAUUCCUGCUGAAAGAGAUAAUGUGGUGGGGAGGGGGUUGAAGAGUAGGAGCGUACUUUAUUUGGCGUAGCAGAAUCGCUACCAUUGCUAUUUCAGCUCCUUUUUCUUUUGAAACUUGAGAAUCCAUUUGGAGUGUAGGGUCUAACCCAAGCGUGCUAAUAUUGAUAAAACAAUUAUAGUACUGAGCUGAGAGACUCAUAAGAAUGUUAAAUACAAAAGAAGAAAUUGUGGGAGCUUUUGGUGCUGUGCCGCAAAGCUGGGACGAUCGAUAGUGAGAGGUGGAGCAGGGUAGUGGUGAGGAUGAUGAGGUGGCGGAUUAACGGUAGGCGAUUGGGUCAGGAGCAACGGUGGGGUAGCAAAGCAGGGCUGGGCAGCAAGUUCAGCCUAACGCGGCGAUAAAGAAGAAGAAAGGAGAAAGGAGAGUACGGUGUCAAAGGAGGCCAGUUCACCCAUUUUAGAGCCGAAAACUAGAUAGGUAAAGAGGCUCAAGAUGAAUACUUAGGCUUAGUUUAGUAAUACUUCUCAAAAGUGCUUUUUUGAGGGAAAAGCUAAAAUUUUCAGCUUCUAAAAAAAGUACUUUUUGGUCAAUUUUUGACUUGGGAGAAGCACUUUUUAUCUCAAAAGGUAACUUGUUUAAGAAUGUUUUUGUCUUAAAAGUAUUUUUUUAUCCCAAAAGUGUUUCUUAGAAGCAGUACUAAACACACUCUUAGUGUAUUAAAGAAAGGUAUUUUCAACUGCACUAGAAGAGUUAUCGAGAUGUGAUAAAUUAUCUUCUAACCAUUUCAUUUCUAUUUAGUUAUCACUAAAUUUGUCUCGCACCUUACCCAAUAGCUGGUGGCAAAUUGGUCUCCAAUCUCGAACAUGCACUACUCCCAUAAUGAUUGCCCUAUCAAUCGAUAGACCGACUUGUAAUACCACAUCUUCGAGUGUAAUCGUACACUCAUUGAAUGGAAAAUGGAAUGUAUGAGUUUUGAGUUUUCAUCUCUCUAGCAAAGCAUUGACAUUUUUAAAAUUGGCAACAUUUAUCAAAUUAAACAAGAUUAAUUAAUUUAGACAAUUAAAUAAACUAAUUUUUUUAAUAUUAUUAAAUUAAAAAUUUAUUUAACAUAAAAAUAUCGUUAAAUCUAUUAAAAAUAAACAAAUUAAAAAAUAAAUUAUCUUAUUUUACUUGAAAUCUUUGAGAUGAUGAAAAUCGAAUAAUAUCAAGAAAUUGAAUGAAAAAAAAAUAAGUGAAGAGAAGAAGAAAUUGAGAGGUUAGAAUAGAAAAUUAAGAGAAAAAGAGUUGAGAUAAAAGAUAAAUGAAAUUGAAUGAAAUAAAUGAUAAGUGGAGAGAUUUUUAUAUGGGAAAAUUUUGAGAGCCGUUGGGUGCAUUUAAUUUUUUUUUCAAUUUUUAGCCGUUGGUCCAACGGUUUAAAAAUCAAUGGUCUAGAUUUUAAAAACGUAUUUUCCUACUACCACAUAGACAAAAACGUAUUUUCCUACAUGGCAGCCACACCCCACAAAAAAUGCUUGUUUCCCUAUUUUUCAAAACAGACGAACUAUUUUCCUAAUUAUAUUUUAAAAACGAUAUAUUCUUGAUUGUUUGAAUUUCGUUUUUAAUGCGUUUUUGGGUGAUUAUUUGAUGUAAAUUGUGAAUUAUAUGCUUCUAAUUCUUUAAAUUCAUGUUUUUAUACUUAGGAGAGUAUUUGGGAGCAAAAUGAGCGAAAAUCGGAGCGAGUUACAAGAGCCACACGGGCUAAACCAUUUCACAUGGCCUGGGCACAUAGAUGUAUGAGCCACAUGGGCUGCUACAUGGCAUAUGGCAAGUCGUGUCGAUAUCGCAAAUUGCACUCCGAACAGCGAAAAACGCGAUUUUUAGGUUUUUCGGGUAUUUUAAGACCUAUAUAUGACAAAAAUAAGAGGAUUUGAGUGAGCCACUAUAGAAUACUCAAGAAAACAAUCCGAAAAAUACCAUUGAAGAUUCCCUUUUGAUUUCUUUGGAGAUUAUUAUGAGUUUUUUUCUUUCUUACGGUUAUACUGUUUCUUGGAUGUUUUUAUUUGCUUGUAUGAACUAAUUUUCUAAAUAUCUAGGGAGAUGAAUCCUAUGAUGGAUUAUGUCGUUUGAUUUUUAUUUUAAGCAAUAAAGACUUAGAUAUUAUUCUUAAUUAUGUGUGCUUAAUUUUUGGUUUAAUAUUUCUAGGCAUUGAUUCAUAUUUGAUGUGCUUAAAUAAGAUGAGUAGAUCCUGUUUAAUAGUAUAUCUAGCGUAAUUGAGUGGAAUUGCAUGCAAUCCUAGAAAUAGGACGAUAAAUCUACAGGAUUAGAGUCAAAUCUAAUAGAGGAAUCCAUAGAUCGAGUUAAUGCGAUAAUAAAGGUUUUAAUUAGAAAGAAAUUUUAAUUAAUCAACCUAGAGUCAGUUGUUAUUAUUCUUGAAGAGAGAUAUUAGCACAAUUUAGGAAUUUCUACUGAUCAAGAUACUAAGUGAAGAAAUUGCAUAAUUUAGAUUGAUAAUUACAAAUGAAAUCUAGGUAAAUUUUUUCCUGAGUAUUGUUUCGCUUCUUGGUUAUUAUUUGAUUAUUUUCCUGAAUUGUUCUUUGUUGUGUUGGUUAGUUAAUUAAUUUAGAUAAUUUUAGUUUUUACUCAAUCACUCGAUUUAUUUGGUUAAAUAAUAGAAAUACUAGCAUUUUUAGUAUUUAUGAGAACAAUAUUUUUACUAACCGUAACUAUACUAUUAGUUGAUAUGUACACUUGCCUUAAUCAAAUUUUUAGUUGAUUUACGACAGCAUCAAUUCUCCUAAUUUUUCCAAUAUAAUUAUCCAUGCAAAUAUCAUUACUAAUUAAAUUGAAAUAUAUUAUAAAUAAUAAAAAGAAAUUUUAUUAUAUUCUAAUAAUCGUAUUUGGCUUCUCUUAAAUGAAGCAAAAAUUCAUCUUUCAUUCCUAUUAAAUGAUCUGAAGAAGACUACCCUUAUCAAAUUAUGUUCCAAACAAUUAACGAUUUGCGUUCCAUUUUUGUUUCUUCAACUAGUGGCAUUUGUCGAUUUGCUUUCCUCCCGACUCAACACUUUUCUUUAGUUUUGUUGGGAUUCUUAGUCUCCAGGUGUUGUUAAAUCUUGGUGGCUUAUGUGUUGAGUCGCAGCCUCACUGUCAAUCUGGCUUGCGUGUAAUGCUUUUUGUUUUCGAAGACAAGAGCUGGGAGGUUAAUGAUAUCAUCUUCCUUGUAAAGCUCAGAUCCCUUGUUAUGGCUUCGAGCUUCCUAUGUUGAUCUUAACCUCCGAAAUCUAUUUGGUGGGAGUGUCCUUUGUUCUGCUCUCCAACGACCCCUUCAAAGGAUACUCGAUUAGGUAUUUUUUGGUGCCCUCCGCCUUUUAGCUGCGUUAAAGUCAACGUUUGAGGGAAACCAGGUCCCGCCGGUUGUGGUGGCGUUCCUAGAAAUAAUAAGGGAGACAUUUUGGCUUUAUCCUCGAGACCUCUUGGCUAUAAAACAAGCUCUCGAGAUCUAUUUUCUUAGUCUGUUGCAGCAAUGUUGGAUGAGAAGGUGUGCUUUCUUAGUCAUUAAUGUUUUUAUUGAAUCUUAAUUCCCUAUGGUUGUAUUGCUGGCUGUGUUACACUACAGAUGUGGAAUGAAGGACUUCCUUUUACUGAAACGUGUACACUCACACAUGCUCCCAUUCUUUUUCUUUUUCAUUAUACAAAAAUGGUUAAAUUUUAGUUUUGGUACCUCUAAUAUGUCUAAAUUUAAGAUUUAAUUUAUAUACUUUAAAUUUUAACAUAAUUAGAAAAUAAACCUUAAAUUUUACCUAAGCUCAUUUUUCAAGUCUCGUAUUUUUGUCUAAACCCUCCCAAUUUUCGAGCGGCCUCUAGGCCUGGAUGAGUGGCCUGGCCCAUGAGCAUGUCUAAUCACAUAUAUAAUAAGAACAAUUAUAUGUUAUUUUUUUACUAUCAUAAAAGGAUUAGCCCAAAUUAAAAGUGAACUAAUUUGGUUAAAGUUUAUUGGACUUCAGUUAUUAAACAAAGUAUAUGAGUUGAUACUCUAACAACUAAUUUCUAAUUGUAAUCAACUCGUAAAAUGCCUAAAAUAUUUUCGAGUCUUUGGACUACCUCUGUUUACAUUGAGCUUUUUUUAGGUGGGAGCUAGACUGUUUUUAAUAUAAAAUUAAUAUAGAUAUAGACGUAUAACAAUUUUUUUUCCAUUAAUUAGUAAAGAAAAUAUAUGAGAUAUAGUGUGAAUAUAUAUAGACUGACAAAAACUCUAAAUUUGGUUGACAUUCUUAAAUUAAAUUUGUUGAGAAGAAAAGAAAACCUUUCGUUGACGUAAAGGUUUGCACAAUAAACAAUAAGAAUAAGAAGAAAAAAAUUCAAUUUGAUAAAACUUUCAAUCAUAGUAUAAUUAUUAUUGUACAAGAGUCAUGUAAGCUUAUAAAAAAAAAUUAAAUACGAAAACGUAGUUGAAUCCGUUAAUAUCUUGAAACCUUUAAAUUUUACGGUUUUAAUCUGUCAAAUUAACACAAAUAUUUUAAAGAAUGGGUAAAGACUUAAAAAUAUUUUAGGCAUUCUAUGGAUUUAAUUGUUUAGUGAAAUUAUAACUCUUAUAAUAUAAUUAUUACACUUUCAUUGAAAGUUCACUAUUUUAUAUCUAAGGGUUGUUGUUUAAAUAAUAAUCAAUAGUUAUGGUCAACGAAGGGUUUUCUUAUCUUCUCAAUAAAUUUAAUUUAAGAAUUUGUCAAUGAAAUUUAUAUUUUUCUUGUCAACUUUCAUAUAUAUGUAUAUAGAAGCACAUGUCAUAUAUUUUCUUUAACAAUUAUUUGAGGACAAAAAGAAAUAAUAUUUUUAUAUAUCUAGUGUUAUACCCCUACUCGGUUUGGACACGUGGUGACGUGAGAAGUUACUUGAGAAACACUUAUGGACAACCCUUUGCCUUUCACUACCUGGCUGGCCAUCCAGUGACUAGCCACCCGCGUGCCUCAGACCCUCCAUAAGGCAUAUCAUCUUGGGUCACUUGCUAUUAGUAAGACCUCCGUUAGGCCACUCGCUAUUAGUGAGUAUGCACAUAUACCCAAGAGGGGACCAUUGAAGCCUAACAACCUCAUACUACCUCACAAAGAGCAUGUCAGAGCAAGCCCCUGCUUGAAAACAAUCAACACAUAAUGGAACUGCCACAUGAUCGAACACAUGGGCGGGCCACCACCUUUAUUGUCAGUGACAUGACACUGUCGGGCAUGGAGACGUUCCCCCUAUAAAUACCCAAGGCACGAUGAUAGCAGGAUCUUUUUCCCUUCAGCAAACCUGAGCACCUCACCUAGCAAUAGUCUACCUUUCGUCUCCUUAUUCUCUUAUCUCCCUAACUCCCUCACUCUGACUCUCCGCCAAACUAUGGUGAACCAACCUCCUUACCACCACCACCAUAUUCUCAUUCUCUCCUCCCUUAUUGUACCACAAUAUCAACAUCCAUAUUUAUAUACAACUUCAUAUUAAAAUAAAAUUUUGUUCAGCUUCUACCCAAAAAACAAACUAAAUGUAAAUGGAGCAGUUCUGUAAACUCAAAUAUUUUUAUUCGUUUUAUGAAUUUAAUUGUUUAGUGAAAUUGUAGCUCUUAUACAAUAAUUAUUGUAGUUUGAUUGAAAGCUAAUUGUUUUAUAUCAAAUAUAGAUUUUUCUUAUUCUUACAUUAUUAUUGGCUAUUGUUUAGAUUGUAAUAGCCCAUUUUUGCCCGGGCCCAAUAAAAAAUGUUAACAGUCCCAGUCCAUUUACAACAAACCAGAUAGGCCCAAAGCCCUAACGGCCCAAUAUGGCCUAAAAAACUAAACAAAAUUAGAAAACCCUAGGGUUCCCUUCCCCUCUUGCGCCGCAGCCUCCCCCAUGUGCGUCCUCGGCGUGCACGAUGCCCGAUGACGACUCCUUCACCGAGGUUGCACCAAAAUGGCAAUGGUUUCUGCUCGUUGACUCCUCAUGACCUGCAAAAUAGACGAAGAUAGCAGCCAAUAGACAAAAACAGAGACAGCAGAAACAAACAGUAGCAAAAAAGAUGUAUUUGGCUAUAUAAGCCCAAAAACCAAACAAAUGUAAGGGGAAAAAUAUUGUAUGAAAAGCUAUUGAAAAAUAUAAAAAAAGAGAAUACAAAAACAAAGGUGAUUUUUUUGCAUUCGAAGCUCUCUUUAUUUGUGCUUUAUUUUUAUUUUUAUUUAUCUUUCUUAUACCAAAUAACCAAAAAAACAAAAAAAAAAGAAAAAGAAAAUCUCACCCGCGCCUCGCCGGAGGAGGAGAGGCCGAACGAUUUCUCCUCAUUUUUUUCGGGUUUGGGUUCACCUUUCAAAGGAUUCAAACUUGAAUCCAGGUUCUAGGGGUGACGAGCUUUAAGCGGGGCUAAGAAAGGCCCGAUUUUGCACCUCCGGCGGAAGUGUGCCGAAGCCCUCGAUCGAAGUCUUAGGCCGGAUUUUGGAGGGGAGGCCGAGAGAGAGCUCACUCUCUCUGUUUUCUGAAAAAAUGAAAGGGAUAAAAUGUUUUUAUUUGUUCAUUUUUUAGUAUUUAUAAGGUGUAAAAACGGCGUCAUUUUGGACCUUAGCAUCAGUGGCCAAAAUGGCGCCGUUUGGUAUAACAACCCAAGGGCCGACCCGAGACCCAACCCACUCCAGGGGGAUCCGCGUGUUUUCCUCAAAUGGGUUAUUUAUGACCCUGGUCCCUCCGCAUUUUUACUUAUUUUAAUUUACUCCCUUCCUGUUCAUUUUCAUUUUUUUUUCAAAUUUGGCCCUAGAAUUUUGUUUGGUUUUCAGUAAAGUCCCUAACCCACCAACGAGCUGGAUAAUGGACACGUGUCUGGGUUUGGGUUUUAUUCCCAUUUGGUCCUUGACCUUUGUGCGUCUUUUGAUUUUAAUCCUUCGUAUUUAGUUUAUUACAGUUUCAACCUUUUAAUUUUAUUUUUAUCCCUAAUUAGUCCAUUUGUGUUAUUUUUGUUGUAUUAUUAAUUAAUCUACUUAUUAUCAUACUUGUAUUUUCAUUAUUAUUUAUUUAUUCAUUAUUAUAUUAUUAUAUUAUACUAUUAGUUCUAUAUUAUUAUUAUUAUUAUUAUUAUUAUUAUUUACUCAUUUAUACCAUUUAAUUUUAGAUUUAACCAUAUAUACAUACAUAUCUUUGACUUAUAUAUAUCCUUACUUAUUUUUUAAUAUACAUUAUAAUUUAUAUAUACAUACGUACAUUUUUAUAAUAUAUAUACAUAUACAUGUACAUAUUUUUAUAACUUAUUCAUAUAUAUAUAUGUAUAUAUGCAUGUUUGUAUUUCUUUAUAUAUUUUAUGUAUAUACAGAUAUAUAUAUUUUUUACUUUCAUAAUUUUAUUCAUUUUGUUUAUUUAUUUAUUCAUAUUUUCAUUAUUAUUUUGAAAGAAUGUCUUAAUUAUUCAUUUAUUUACUUGUUGUGAUAUGAUAGAUUUGUCUCUUCUAUUAUUUAUCUCAUUUACGAUGUCGUUCGUAUUAUUUAUACUUACAUUAUCGUGUUCAAUUUUUUUUGUUACGCACAUUAACACCAUGUUUUAUUUCUACCAUUUUGUGUUAGAUUAAUUUUAUUCAAUGCAUAAAUUAUGAUUUUUGAAUAAGCAAAAUCUCGUGUUUAGAUUCGAGAAGGUCGUAUCCUAACUUACUGGGUUUCGAUUUUCACAAUAAAUCUAAAUACAUGAAUCCUUUCAAACUCAAGUUUUAAACGAUCUCGGGAAUUAAGAGAAGAUCGUGUCCUAGCUUACUGGGAAUGAUCCUUUUUUUCCUCAAGUUUUAAACAAUCUUGGGAAUUAAGAAAAGAUUGUGUCCUAACUUACUGGGCAUGAUCCCCUUUUUUAAUCUGAGAUGGCUAAAUAUCUUUUAAAUAAGUAAAUUUUUGGCAUUCAUUCGCGCAUCGGGAAUUCAAGACAUUGUGUCCUAACUUACUGGAUAUAAUUCUCUCUCUCGAUUAACGUGAAAUAUGCUAUUUUCUCAAAAAUUUUCAACAUUUCAAUAAAGGAUCGUAUUUUAAAUCUCUUCAAAAUUUUUAAUUUUCGACACUAAGACAUUAAUUAAUUAACUAGGUACCAAUUUUGGGCGUUACGAGGGUGCUAACCCUUUCUCGUACGUAACCGACUUCCGAACCCGUUUUUCUAAAUUUUGUAGAUCAAAAUCGUUGUUUUAAUAAAAUUAAAUCGUUUAUUAAAAACGACCACUUUUCGAGGUGACCCGAUCACACCUCAUCAAAAAGGAUUGGUGGUGACUCCCAUUUUCAUUUUCAUUUUUAAAAUCCAAGUCGACCCCGUUUUGUCAAAAAAAUGGUGUCAACAUAGACAAUAAAAUAAUUUUUGUUCCUUCUCAAAAAUUUAGUUUAAGAAUUGUCAAUGAAAUUUAUAAAUUAUUAUAAAUCAAGAAUAAUAGAUAAAAGAUAGAUUUGAGAAUAAGGAAAUUUCUACGGCAUUCUAUUAUUUUUCAUCAUCAUCACAAGUAGUCUAUUCCUAUAUAUAUAUAGAGAGAUUAGACUUCUCAUUUUUCUAAUACAUAAGUAAAAAAGAGGUUAUAAGAAGAUCAAAGAUGAAGAAUUAAGAAAGAUGAAAGAUGAAAGAUGAAAAAUUAAUUAUAAUCAUCCACUUAAUAGCAUUCAUAAUAAUAUAUAUUAGUUUUCAUACACACAAUCCCAUACUUUUUCAUUAAUAAUUAAUGGAAAACAAAAAAAAUAAUAUUUUUAAACAUAUAUAUCUAUAUAUAAUUUCAUGUUAAAAAAAGUCUAUCCUACCCCCAAGAAAACUCAAUGUAAAUAGGAUUUUUUUUAAAUCCCUCUUUUUCUUUUGGAAUUUUUUAGAAUUAAAAUUAAAUUGAAGAUUUUUGUAAAUGUUGAGGGUAAAAUUUAUUGAAUUUUUAGAAUUUAAACUAAAAUAACAAAUUUUGUAAACAUUGAGAGCUAAAUUUGUUGAUUUUUUUUUUUAGAUUUAUGAUCAAUUUGAUAGAAUAUGUAAACACUGAGUGCUAAAUUUAUUAUUAGGCGAAUAAGAAAAGCCCUUUGUAGACUUAGGGUGUGUUUAAUAAACUAAAAAUUUAAGUGUUGAAUUUUUAUGUUAAAUUUUAUAAGUGUUAAAUUUAUAUUAGAAAAUUGUUUGGUAAAUUAGUAAAUAUAAGUAUUGAACGUAAUUAUGUUGUUUGAUAAAAUCAAAUAUUAAUUAUUUUUAAUUUUAAUCUUAUUAAGAUAAUAAAUUUUUUUAUCAUUUGGAUAGUUUUGGCUAAAAGCUAAAUAUGGUAAUUUAAAUAUCUCAUUUAAAAAAAAGAAUAAUUUAUUUUUAAUUUAUUUACUAAAAUAAAAUCAACUUAAUAUUUUCUAAAUUAAGUGAUUCGUAGCUACCUAACCUAAACAUCUUAUUCAACACUUUUUUUUGUUGAAAAUUUUAUAUCAAGUAAAGAAUUAAUAUGAUUAUCAAACACAUUUAAAAUAUUAAAUUUCAUUUUCAAUGAAAUGAAAAUUUUAUUAGUUUAUUAAACACACCCUUAGUUAAUGACAACUAAUGAGAGAGUGACUAAAAUAUUUAACUUCAAAAAGUUGAGUGACUAAAUUAAAAAAAUUAAUAGUUGAGUGACCAAAAUAGAACCGAGUGUAUGAUUAGAUGACUAUUCUUAUAGUUUACCCUAAAUUUUAUAAUAUAAUGUAAUGUAAUGUAAUUAAUUAAUAAUUCUUGUAAAAUCUUGUUGGUUUGCACUCAAACUCUUUAAAUAUUGCGAAAUAUCACAACAUGAUGUUAAUAUUUAAAUAUAUUCGACGAGAAUUUUGGCUUAGCUCCCAUGUUAGAAAAUUUCCUAUUUAUAUUUGAAUAUUAAUAUAUUUUUAUAAACAUUGCAUUCUGAAAGAGAAUGGGAUUCGAACUUUAGAUGUGAUAUUGUUGUGAGGGAUAGUUACGAACCCAAACAUGGAUCAUAAAAUAAAUAUGGAAAAUAUUAUUGUGGUGAAGGCUCGACUCAUUCAGGAGAAAUUUUCGAAGUGUCGUUUGCCAAGCAAUAGACAAUCAAAGGUAUUGUCCUCGUGGUCAGGAUUUUGUCCCCUAGCCUUUACGCAGCAAACUUUGUACCACUUGACGACGUUUUGAAAACUUUUAUGAGAGGAGCUAACUUCCCCAUCAACAGGUACCAAAAAAACUAAAUAAAUGAACCCACAUUUUCAAAGUUAAGGAUAACACAUGAUGAAAUUAUUCUAGUUUUUUAACACAUGACUAAAUAAAUACCAUCUAUUUUCCAAUUUUUCUUCACAAUGUUUGCCUUUGACACUUCAAAAUAAAGGAAAAAAAGUUGUGUAUGUUACAUCUUAAUCCAUUCCAUAAUGUAACUCAUGUUUAUGUUUUCUUAAAACAUAUAAUUUUUACAUUUAAAAAUAAUAGUAAAUCCCCUGCGAAAGCAGGGGUUAAUUCUAGUAAUAGAUGAAAGACCACGCUAUUGACCCAAAUUUUCAAUUAUGAUUUCCUUCUCUGUGACAUCAUUCACUGUAAUUUUCAUUUCUUUUUCUUAGUUUCCCAAAUUUCCUAUUUAUUUCCUCUUGACUGUCACUGACGAUAAAUUAUUUUAUGUUCAGUUUUCUCAAUUAAGUUUUUGUUACGAAAGUUGUAUAAAAUUUAUAUAUAAAAAGGUUAUAACUUAACAUAAAAUUUAAUAUAGUAGAUGUUAAUUAUGAAAAUAUAAAAAAAUUUCUUUUACUAUAUCGUUGGUUAUGAUACUCUUUGAGAUAAUAGAAUCAGAAGCAAGUACCAGUAAUAGUUCACGAGUUUUUUAAUUCGAGACAUUUAAAGCUUUAAAAUAUAGAUAAAAUGACAUUUACUGUUCUAAAAAAAGUCUUAUAUUAACAUCACUUCAAUAAAAUAUAAAAAAAAAGAUUAGAUCGUAUUAGCAUGUUGCAUACUUCAUAACUUUAUUCGUAGGCGGAAUUGAGAUGAUUCAGAGUACAAGGAAGCAGAAGAAAAUCUUGAUAAUUUUAAUAAUAUAAAUUGAUAUUCAGAUGAUGAUAGGAGUAUAUAUAAAUGUUAAAUAAGGAAUUAACUCAAAAAAUAUGUAAUGCUAAAACAAUUAAAUAAAAUUGUAUAUGAUUUUUAUUGCUCUUGUUAUUUUUAUUAGUAAUUGUAUUAUUGACUACUUUCUUAAACUAACAUAUUACCUAUUACCUAUGAUGAUUUGAUUUAAAUUUUUGUUAUUCGUUUAGAACUUUUUAUCGUAUUAAUAUUUGGUUCCUCUCAAAUGAACCUAAAAAUCAUCUUUCAUUCCUAUUAAACGAUGAGAAAAACUACUCUUAUCGGAUUUCGUUCCAAACAAUUAGCGAUUUGCACAGGAGUUAUGGUUUUGUUUCUUCAACUAGUGGCAUUUGUCGGUUUGCUUUCCUCCUGACUUAACACUUUUCUUUAGUUUUGUUGGGAUUCUUAGUUUCUAGGUGUUGUACAUGUUGCGUGGCAGCCUCACUGUCAAUUUGGCAUGCGUGUAUUAAUGCUUUUUGUUUUGAAGAGAAGAGCUGGGAGGUUAAUGAUACCAUCUUCCUUGUAAAGCUCAGAUCCUUGUUUUGGCUUCGAGCUUCAUAUGUUGAUCUUAACCUCCGAGAAUCUAUUUGGUCGGAGUGUCCUUUGUUCUGAUCUCCAACAACCCCUUCAAAGGAUUCGAAUUGGUAUUUUUUGGUUCCCUCCUUUUAGCUGCUUUAGAGUCAACAUUUCAGGGGAACCAAGUCCUACCGGUUUUGGUGUCCUUUGUUCUAAUAUUUUCUUUAAUAAUUAAUGGAAAAAAAUUGAUAUGUUUAUCGUCUUAGAUGUGAUCUGAAUUCGAGUAACGCUUAUUACAUUGUUGUGAAGACUUUACCUCUUGUAACUUGAAAACAAAAAGAAAACUCUAUGUUUAGCUCCUACCUAAAAAACACUCAAUGUAAAGAGGGGCAGUUGUAAGACUCGAAAAUAUUUUAGGCAUUCUAUGGAUUUAAUUGUUUAGUGAAAUUAUAACUCUUAUACUAUUAUUAUUAGACUUCCAUUGAAAGUUAACUAAUUUACAUCUAAUAUAGAAUUUCUUAUUCUUACACUAUUAUUGGUUGUUUAAAUAAUAUAUUAAAAUUUGAAACUAUCAAUAGUUAUGGUCAACGAAGGGUUUUUUAUCUUCUCAAUAAUUUUAAUUUAAGAAUUUGUCAAUGAAAUUUAUAUUUUUCUUGUCAACUUUCAUAUAUAUAUAUAUAGACACACAUGUCAUACAUUUUCUUUAACAAUUAUUUGAAAACAAAAGGAAAUUAUAUUUUUAUAUAUUUGUUCUUAUACACAUGAUGAUGUGAGUGUUGGGAAGAAACCGAACAACCGAAACAAAGCGAAAGCACAACCGGUGUUCUUUCUCUCCUUAUAACUCCUGUAAAAAUUAUGGCAAGCACAAUAGCACAAGAUAUGUUCUCUAGCAACCUUAAUCAAUCACAAAUCAACUAAUGCAACCACAACAAAAAUAAAUAGAGACACCGAUAUUUUUACGUGGAAAACCCCUUUAAAUCAAGGGUAAAAAACCACGGGACUUUAGAGUCCGAUAAAGAGCUCCACUAUCAUCAAAUGUUCGGCUACAAGAUCACAAUAUCAAGCCUACAACAAGCAUUCAACUCCGACAAGGCUAACAAUAUGUAAUCUUUAGCAAAAGAGAGAAAAAUGAGAGAACAUCACCAAAAAAACGUAGCUGCUGAAAAAUGGGUAUUUUCGACGCUACAAGACUCGGAUGAAAGAUCCGACCGUACAAAGUCAAGAACACCUUAUCACCUAGCUGCUGUCCAAAAAUCAGCUCAAUCGAACCACGGAUGGUCCUUCGAUCGAGGAGUUGAUCACUGCUGCACCAAGCUUGAAAAAAACUGAUUUUUUUUAUUCUCUUUUUCUCCAACGAGCUUUUUUUUUUAAUCUCACUCUCUGUUUUUCUCUCUUUUAAAUUGAGAAUUUGACACUCAAUAAUAAUAGAGAGACAAAACAUUAUGGCAUAAAAUAUGGGUUUCCCACAUAGUGGGACCCAUACCCAACAAAUCUCCCCCUCCAACUAUGUGGGGAAUGCCUCCAUACCGGAGGUCAAACAACAUGCUUCAAACUUUCCUCUUGGUAAGGCCUUCGUCAACAUAUCAGCACCAUUAUCAUUAGUGUGUAUCUUCUCAAGCUCUAACAGCUUAGCUUCAAGAACAUCUCGUAUCCAAUGGUACCUCACAUCAAUAUGCUUAGAUCUAGCAUGAAAAGUUGAGUUCUUACCAAGAUGAAUAGCACUCUGGCUAUCACAGUACAGGACAUACUUCUCCUGAGUAAAACCAAGCUCAUGCACAAACUUCUUCAUCCAAAGCAUCUCCUUACACGCUUCGGUUGCUGCAAUGAACUCUGAUUCGGUGGUGGACAAUGCAACACACUUUUGCAGUCUCGAUUGCCAUGCCACAGCUCCCCCUGCAUAAGUGAUUAAGUAACCUGAAGUAGAUCUCCUCGAGUCAAUGUCUCCGGCCAUGUCUGAAUCUGUAUACCCAACAAGAACAGGUUUCUCAUUGCCGAAACAAAGUUUCAUGUUGGAAGUGCCACGAAGAUAUCUCAUAAUCCACUUCACUGCAUUCCAAUGUUCUCUGCCUGGAUUAGAAAGAAACCGACUAACUGUACCAACGGCAUAAGCCAAGUCUGGUCUCGUGCAAACCAUUGCGUACAUCAAACUACCCACGGCUGAAGAGUAAGGAAUUUUCUGCAUCUCUUCCUUCUCCUUUUCUGUGGAAGGACUAUGCUUAACACUCAAUCUAAAGUGCACAGCAAAGGGAAUAUUCACCGCUUUAGCUUUGUCCAUACUAAACCUUUGAAGUACUUUCUCAAUGUACCUCUCUUGUGAUAACCAUAAUUUCUUGGCCUUUCUAUCACGUGUCAGUCUUAUGCCAAGAAUUUGCUUUGCUGGCCCCAAAUCCUUCAUUGCAAAGGAUUUACUCAACUCUUGUUUCAACUUCUCAAUUCUAGAAGCAUUCUGACCAACAAUAAGCAUAUCAUCAACAUAGAGCAAAAGAAUAAUAAAAUCAUCACCAGAGAAUCUCUUAACAAACACACAAUGAUCAGAAGUAGUCUUCUUGUAGCCUUGCUCCCCCAUAACAGACUCAAACUUCUUGUACCAUUGCAUUGGAGCUUGCUUCAAACCAUACAAGCUCUUCUUCAAUCUGCACACAUAGUCCUCUUUCCCUUGUGCAACAAAACCCUCUGGCUGCUCCAUGUAAAGCUCUUCUUCCAAGUCACCAUGAAGAAAAGCAGUUUUCACAUCCAUUUGUUCAACCUCUAGGUCAUAACAAGCUACCAAACUCAGUAUAGUUCUGAUAGAGGACAUCUUCACAACCGGAGAAAAUAUUUCUUCAAAAUCAACCCCCUUUUUCUGAGUAUAACCCUUGACGACCAAUCUAGCUUUGUAUCGUGGAGAUGAAGACUUCACUUCUUGCUUCAACCUGUAAACCCACCGAUUAUUCAAAGCUCUUUUGCCUUUAGGCAGUUUCACCAAUUCAAAAGUAUGGUUCUCAUGCAAGGAUUGAAGUUCGUCUUUCAUCGCUUCAACCCACUGAUCUUUGCAUUCACUCUCCAUAGCCUCUUCAUAACAUUCAGGUUCUCCCCCGUCAGUCAAAAGAACAUAUUCAUCAGGAGAAUACCUGACAGAAGAUCGUCGAUCUCUGGAAGACCUUCGAAGUGGAACUGCUGGUGGAGCUAUAGGUGCUUGUUGUUGAUCAUUCACAACAUCAUCCAUGGGAGUAUCAAAGUCACCUAUAGUCUGAUGGUCACCACUAACAUCACCAUGCACAUCAUCCUGGAUAGGAUCUGGUGAAGAGUCUAGGGGAACCGGAUUCACAUCGAUCAAGUUACCACUACCUUGUGAAUCCACUUUCUCCGUCUUAUCAAUGUCAUCAAUGGUCUGAUCCUCAAUGAAGACAACAUCUCUGCUUCUCACGAGUUUCUUCUGAACUGGAUCAUAGAGUCUAUAACCAAACUCACCAUCUAGACCAUAACCAAUAAAAAUGCAUUGUCGAGCCUUGGCAUCCAACUUGGAUCUUUCAUCCUUUGGAACAUGAACAAAUGCUUUACAACCGAACACACGUAGGUGAUCAUAUGACACGUCUUUACCAAACCAAACUCUAUCUGGCACAUCACCUUUCAAAGGAACACUAGGAGACAGAUUUAUCACAUGUGUCACUGUAUUCAAAGCUUCAGCCCAAAAUGAUCUUGGUAACUUUGCAUCUGACAACAAACAUCUGACUCUCUCAAUCAAUGUUCGGUUCAUUCUUUCAGCUAACCCAUUUAACUGUGGAGUCUUUGGUGGUGUUCUCUGAUGUCUGAUUCCCUGUCGCAGACAAUACUCAUGAAACGACCCUGUGUACUCGCCACCAUUAUCAGUACGAAUGCACUUCAACUUUUUCCCAGUUUCCCUUUCAACUGAUGCUUGAAACUGUUUAAACACCUCAAAGACUUGAUUUUUAGACUUCAAAGUGUAAACCCAUAGCUUUCUUGAACAAUCAUCAAUGAAAGUCACAAAGUAAAGUGCACCACCAUGUGAUCUUACUUUUAUCGGACCACAAACAUCUGAAUGGACCAACUCUAGCAACUCUGAUUUCCUAUGAGGAGGAUGGCUUCUAAAUGAAACUCUUUUCUGCUUCUUUCCUGCUAGACAAUGAGCACAAUUCUUCAGUGUAGCAUUCUUUAAACCCGAAAGUUGAUUCUUCUUCGCUAAACAGCUAAGCCCCUUCUCACUCAUGUGACUGAGUCGUUUAUGCCACAACUCAGUUGAGUUGUCAUUCAGUGUCACAUUCACCGUCUCUCGAGAAGUCAAAGCUUGCAUCAAGUACAAAUUUGAGCUCUUCUUUCCUCGAGCCACAACCAAGGAGCCUUUAGUCAGCUUCCACUGCCCUUCACUGAAAGUGUUACAGAAUCCCUCAUCAUCAAGUUUUCCUGCAGAAAUCAAAUUCAAACGGACAUCCGGUGCAUGUCUGACAUCCUUGAGAGUUAACUUUGUUCCAUUGUUACUUACCAAGCUAACAUCUCCCAUACCAAUGACCGAAACCAAACCAUCAUUACCCAUCUUCAAUACCCCAAAAUCACCAGGAGUAUAAGAUGUGAAGAAUUCCUUCCUCGACGUGACAUGAAGUGAUGCACCAGUAUCAAUCACCCAACUAGUCUCGUCGCAUGCUAGGUUGACCAAAUUCUGAUCACAAAUAACUAACAAAUCUUCACGAGUAACAGUAGCAACACGCUCGGAUUUUUCAUCGUCAUUCCGGUCGUGUUUAUCACCACCACCUUUAUUUUCUUUCUUCCACUUGAAGCAAUAUUUCUUGAUAUGGCCUUUCUUACCACAAUGAUGACACUCAAGAUUCUUGUAUCUCGAUCUUGACUUGCUUCGGCUUUUAUCUCUACCCUUUCCAUCUUUGUCUCUGUUUCUCCCCCUGUUCUCGAUAACCAACACCUCGGACUGUGAUGUAGAACCCUGAGAUCUUCUUCUAACCUCUUCAUUCAACACACCACUCUUAGCCAAAUCCAAAGUAAUAAUACCCUGUGGGGCAGAAUUAAUGAGUGAGACUCGAAAGGUCUCCCAAGAGUCUGGUAGAGUAGCAAGCAACCAAAGUCCUAAAAUCUCGUCAUCAAAUUUGACACCCAUACCAAGCAACUGAUUCAUCAUACUCUGAAAUUCACUAACAUGGUCAGCUAUAGACAUUCCUUCUUUAUAUUUCAGUGCCAUCAUUUUCUUCAGCAAAAAUAACUUGUUAUUGCCCGACCUCGAAGCAUACAAGCUUUCAAGCUUCUCCCACAAUGUUCGAGCAUGUGUCUCCUGAUCAAUGUGAUUGUAAACAUUUUCUUCAACAAAUUUCCGAAUAAAGCCACACACUUGUUGAUGCUCAAAUUCCCAUUCUUCAUCACUUUUCGAAUCGGGUUUUUGAGUAGUAAAGACCGGAAGAUGCAAAGCCUUCACAAACAACAAGUCCUUCAUUUUAUUCCGCCAAAGUUGAUAAUUUGUGCCAUUCAACAUAAUCAUCUUGCUCGUAUUAAUUUCCAUAAUUAUCUGACACAAUAACCAAGCUCUGAUACCAGUUUGUUGGGAAGAAACCGAACAACCGAAACAAAGCGAAAGCACAACCGGUGUUCUUUCUCUCCUUAUAACUCCUGUAAAAAUUAUGGCAAGCACAAUAGCACAAGAUAUGUUCUCUAGCAACCUUAAUCAACCACAAAUCAACUAAUGCAACCACAACAAAAAUAAAUAGAGACACCGAUAUUUUUACGUGGAAAACCCCUUUAAAUCAAGGGUAAAAAACCACGGGACUUUAGAGUCCGAUAAAGAGCUCCACUAUCAUCAAAUGUUCGGCUACAAGAUCACAAUAUCAAGCCUACAACAAGCAUUCAACUCCGACAAGGCUAACAAUAUGUAAUCUUUAGCAAAAGAGAGAAAAAUGAGAGAACAUCACCAAAAAAACGUAGCUGCUGAAAAAUGAGUAUUUCCGACGCUACAAGACUCGGAUGAAAGAUCCGACCGUACAAAGUCAAGAACACCUUAUCACCUAGCUGCUGUCCAAAAAUCAGCUCAAUCGAACCACGGAUGGUCCUUCGAUCGAGGAGUUGAUCACUGCUGCACCAAGCUUGAAAAAAACUGAUUUUUUUUUAUUCUCUUUUUCUCCAACGAGCUUUUUUUUUUUAAUCUCACUCUCUAUUUUUCUCUCUUUUAAAUUGAGAAUUUGACACUCAAUAAUAAUAGAGAGACAAAACAUUAUGGCAUAAAAUAUGGGUUUCCCACAUAGUGGGACCCAUACCCAACAGUGAGAAGCUUUGAAAAUGUAUGACAUGUGUGUCUAUAUAUAUAUAUAUAUGAAAGUUGACAAGAAAAAUAUAAAUUUCAUUGACAAAUUUCACUGAACUCUUCUUUAACUCUAAUUUUCUUGUUCUUACACUAUUAUUAGCUAUUGUUCAGACAAUAAAGUAAUUUUUGAUACUGUGGUCAACGAGGGUUUUCUUUCCUUAUCAAAUAUUUAAUUUAAGAAUUACCAACGAAAUUUAUAUUUUUUUUGUUAGUUUUCGUACACACAAUCUCAUACUUUUUCUUUAAUAAUUAAUGGAAAACAAAAAGAAAUAAUAUUUUUAUCUAUCUAUAUCUAUAUGUAAUUUCAUGUUAUAAAACUCUAUCCUACCCCAAAAAAACUCAAUGUGAAUAGGAUUAGAACUAAAUUAUAUAUUUGUAAAUUAAUAGUAAUUUUUUAAAAAAAUCCCUCUUUUUUGUUUUGCUUUUGGAAAUUUUUAGAAUUAUAAUUAAAUAAAUUUUUUUUGUAAAUGUUUAGAAUUCGAACUAAAUUGACAAAUUUUGUAAACAUUGAAAGCUAAAUUUUUUUAUUUUUUAAGAUUUAGCUAGGAUCUAAUUGAUAGAAUCUAUAAACAUUUUUAUUAGGCCAAUAAAAAAGUCCACUUUAGACUUAGGGUGUGUUUGAUAAGCUGAAAAUUUAAAUGCUAAAAAAUUAAGUGCUGAAUUUAUAUUAGAAAAUUGUUUGGUAAAUUAGUAAAUGUAAAUGCGGCAUAUAAUUAUGUUAUUUGAUAAAAGAAAAUAUUAAUUUUUAAAAUAUUUUUAUUUUAUUCUUAUUAAUAUAAUUUUUUAUCUUAUUUUGGAUAAAAGAUAACUAUGGUAAUUUAGAUAUCUCAUUUAUAAAAAAAAUAAUUUAUUUAAUUUUUUAAUAAAAUAAAAUCAACUUUAUAUUUUCAACACUUUUUGUUGGAAAUUUUAUAUCAAGUUAAAAAGUAAUAUGAUUAUCAAACACAUUUAAAAUAUUAAAUGUUGAAAAUUUUCAAUAAUUUAUCAAACACACUAUUAGUUAAUGAAAACUAACGAGAGAGUAAUUAAAAUAUUUAAUUUCAAAAAGUUGAAUGACUAAAUUACGAAAAUUAAUAGUUGAAUGACCCAAAUAGAAUCAAAUGGAUAAUUAGGUGACUCUUUUAUAAUUUUCCUCAAAUCUUAUAAUAUAAUAUAAUAUAAUAAAGUAAUUAAUUAAUAAUUCUUGUAAAAUCUUGUAGGUCUGCACUCAAACUUUAAAUAUUGCGAAAUUUCUCAACAUGAGGUUAUUAUUCAAAUCUAUUAGGAUUUUGGGUUAGCUCAUCAUAUAUUUUUAUAAGCAUUUAACUCUCAAACCGAAAAUGGGAUUUGAAUUUUAGAGGCAAUAUUGUUACGAGGGGUAACCACGAACCUCGAACAUAAAUCAUAAAAAAAUAAAAAAGUACUAUUGUUGGGGGGUCGACUCAUUUGAAAGAAAUAUUUGAACUGUCGUUUGCCAGACAGUUGACAAUGUCCUUAACAACCAAAAUUAUUGUAUUCAUGGUCUCGGCCUCUGCAAAGAAGAGUUUUCUCCCUCGGCCUUUGCAAAGAGCCCCUGCAGACAAACUUGUAUCACUUGAGCCACCUAGCUCAAGUGGUACUGGAAUUGAUUACCAUCAGCAGGCACCAAAAAAACUAAAUAAAUAAAACUAUGUUGUCAAAGUUAGGGACACAUGAUGAAAUGAUCCUAGGGUUUUUAACAGCCAUUGUGGCAAUACUAAUCCGUUGGCGGAUUAGGAAUAUGCCCCUUUAUUGAUUUUAUUAUAAAUUUCAAUAUUUUACAAUUGGGUUUAGUAGUGGUACAAAGUAACAUCAACCUUAAGACUAGCAUCUCCAGUCUUGGCGCUAGAUGAACUGGCCCGAAAUAGUGCAAACCCUUUGGCCAUCCUAAACGCACCUGUCCCUCCCACUAUUGCCAUUUCACGAAUUAUGUUAGGGCCAGGAACAAAAUCUGUGAGGGGAUAUCGUGAGAACAAGCUAAAGGAGCUCCCCUUGAACUUGCCAGUGGUAAACGCAAAAUCAGCGUAAAAAACCGCAGAGAACUUGGUAGGGUCUCGACUUAAUGCUAAGUAGAGCCCUUGGGCAUUUCCAACCAUCUUGGAUGUUCGGUUAGGCCCUAGAGUGAGGGGAUCAUCCAUUGAAUACAAGCUUCCGUAUGGGGAUGGGGAAAAGAAUUUCCGGGUGAUGUUGGCCUGAGCUAUCAGGAAUGUAGUAGGAUCUUUUCCAACGGGAAUAUCGUGGUAGAAGAAGCGAAGUCGGGUCAUCUUUUCCACCCGAGGACCUGCCUUGAUAGUUUUGGAGUAGUAUUGGCCAUAGACCGGUGCUACAGCGAGGCAAAAUAUCAUUGCCCAUGCAAAUAUCAUCCGGUUUUUCAUUUUUCUUCCAAAUGUUUACCUCAAUAGUAUUUGGUUUCGACACUUGAAAGUAAAGGAAAAACAAUUGGUUUUGUGCUUCUUGCUGCACACAGUAGGGGGUUUAAAUAGAAUUUGUGUUGGAUUUUUAAAUUGCUUUAUUUUUUAAUAAAAUAGUUGUGUGAAAGCUUGAAUUUCUUGUGCCUUAUUUUAUUUUUGCAAAUCGUAUGGAUGAAAUUGUAAAGAAGAGUGUAAGUGUGAUUGGAGGAUUGAAGUUUUAUUUAAUGAGACUUCACUUACAAGUUGAAAGGCCGGCACUCAAGCUUUAAAUAUAGAGAAAUAUCCCAACACGAGGUUAUUACUCAAAUCUACUUAGACUCUCAAGACAUUGGAGAAUUUAGGUUUAGCUCCAAUAAUGGAAAUUUCAUUAAUGAAUAAAAUAUUUUUAGAAAGGGUAAACUAUCAAAAUAGUCACUUUUGUUUACCUCAGGUUACAUUUUAGUCACUUACGUUAUCGCGUUAUAACACUUUAGUCAUUGAGCUAUUAAUUGUCGUUAACGGUGUAAUGGUAAGCUGACGUGACAAGUUAAAUCAUCAUUUCAAAUAAAAAUUUUAGGUUAAUUUAUUCAAUCGGUCCCCAUAUUUUUUCAUUUUGAGUAAUUUAAAUUUUUUUCCUUUAUGUUUUUGUAACUUUCCUCUUUUUUUUUUCUUCUUUUUCCAGUCUCUUCUACUUCUCCCUCUGUUUUUCUCCCUUCUUCAUUUCUUCUAACGUAAUUUUUCUAUGUUUUCUAUUUGCUAAAUCUAGUCCCUAUAUUUUUAUUAUUUUUGAACAAUUUAAUUUUUUCGAGUGAGGUGAGCUUGUGGACUAGUUUUAAAAAAUAGAAAACAUAGAUAAAUUACAUUAAAAGAAAUGAAGAAUGGAGGAAAACAGAGGGAGAAGCAGAAGAGAACGAAAAAUAAAAUAAAAAAGAAAGUUAAAAUAACAUAAAAGAAAAAGAUUAAAUUGCUCAAAAUGAAAAAAAAAUAUAAGGAUCAAUUAUAGAAUUUAACUUAAAAUUUUCGUUUAAAAUAAUGAUUUAACGUGCCAUGUCAGCUUACCGUUAUACCGUUAACAACAAUUAACGGCUCAGUGACUAAUAUAUUAAAACCCGAUAACGUGACUAAAACAUAAUAUUUCAAACAUAAGUAACUAAAAUGUAAUCUGAGACAAAAAAAAAUAACUAUUUUAAUAAUUUACCCUUUUUAAAAACUUAAAAUAUUGCUUUUAAAAAAUCAAAUUAAAGCUGUUUUGGCAAGGACAACACAUUCUUUUAAAAGAAGUUCCGGCAGUACUAAUGCUUUCUUGUUUGUAUAGAGCUUCUAGAUCUCAUUUCUAUUUUUUUAAUUAAAUAUUGUAUAGAGCUUCUAAAUCAAAUAUUACCUUUUUGAUAACUUGUAAUUAAAUAUUGUUUGUUUUUUUUGCGGAUAUUAUUUCGGUAUCAUCUAUAUAGGUUGAAACGCUAUGUUCCGAUAGUAAAUCGAAAUAACAAAUUCUAGAUUUUGUUCCGGUACAAAUUUCGGUUGGAAUUAAUCAUGUUGGUUGAUUUCGCUCAUACCGACUAGAAUAUGGUGUACCGAUGAGUACCAAAAUAAUUAAUUUUAAAAUAUAUUUUAAAUUUAAAUUUUAUUAACUAUUUUAGAUUUGUAGAAUUAUGAAUUAUUAUAUGCAUACAGUAUGAGAUGAUAUUAUUGUUUAAUUGAUGGAAUACUUUUUUUGCUUGUUUAUUGUGAGUUUAUUUAAUAAUGGGUUGCAUUUAUGAAGCUUAUUAAAGAAUAUUUUUGGUAUUUUAAAAUUUAUAAUUGGUGAGAUUUGAACCCAUGCCACCAACAUUUUUUAAAUCUUUUUUCACUAAUUCAACCAAAGCUUUAUUUUUUAUGAGAAUUUUAUAUUUGAUAUUUGUAAAUACUUUUUAUAUACAUAUAUCAACUGUUUUUUAAAAAGAGCGAUAAAUCUAAAAUAGUAUACCAAAACAGAUCAAUAUCGAUACGUGUCAAAAUCAAUAAAAAAAACUAUACAUCCAUCGAUACAAUACUGACCACCUUACUUCAUCCAUUUAACCAUUUUAAGUUAUUGACUAAAAAUUAUUAUGAUAUGAGAUUAAAAGAAUAAGAAGUCAACUUACGCAAUCUAAUUUAUAUAAAUAAAUAAAUUGGGUAAAAUCAAUGUGGAAAUGCAGGCAAUUUUAUUGAUUUAGAAUAAUAGAUUCGCAUCAUAUUCUUUUGAAACAAAAAAAAAAAAAAAAACGCCGGCAUCGUCAAUAGAUUCAGUCAAUUUUGAUUAAUUAAUUAAAAUUUUCGUAUAUAAUACUAUUUUUACUGUGGCUGGCAACUAAAGCCAGCUGUAAAAGCAUUUUUCAACCCAAAAGCAAUAAAGAAUGUGGUUUUUGAAAUCAAAAUUACAGUGAUAAAGUGUUUUUUUUUUUUACCCAAACAUAAAAAUUAAGAUUUAGUUGUUUUUGAAUUUUAGGUUUUUUCUUUAAAUGUAAAGUUGGUAUUUAUUAAAUAUUGUAGGGUUUUAAUAAAGACUGACACCCUGAAAGACGUUACAAACAGAUGAAAAGACAUGUCAAAUAAAUCAAACGUCACACGAAAGCCACUCAAGGCUGAAAAGCAAACAGCCACAUACAACUAAAAAGCAAUUAGAAAUUAAAACACCGAAAACAAAACUCAAAGUUAGAGAAAACUAGAAACGAAACGAAACAAAACAAAGCCUUCCCCCAAACAACUAUAUAGAGAAACUAGAGAAAUACCAACCAAAACCUCUUCAAACAAAGCUCAAAAUCCAUCAACCAUGGUAGAAUAGGCGAAAGCUUGAGAGAAACAAGCCCAUGGAGAUUCGGAUUGAACCUUUUCCAUGGAGAAACAAUAAAUUGGGCCUCUUUUUUUAAAAAUUAUACAAUAAAAGUCGGAAAAUUUUUGGGUAAGAGAUGAAUCAUUUAUGGUGAAAAAAUUGAAAGUUUUAGACAUUUAAUUAAUUUAUUUUAGUCUGAAAUAUUUUUUCACACAUUAAAAAUUGAAAAAAUAUUUUUUUGGACCCUAGGCAAUUGUACUCUCAAACAACUCCGGGGUUGCGCCUGAAAAUACCUUUAUUUAUACUAACUAUCUAAAAAAUAUUUAAAUAUUUAUAUUAAUUUAUUAUGUUUUAUGUAUAAUUAUAUUAAAUUAUUCAAGCAUCAUGUAUUCUAUUAAAUUAUUUAAAUAUCAUAUAUUAUUAUGUUAAAUUAUUUAAAUGUCCUUUAUCAUUAUAUUUAAAAUUUGUAAUAUUUUUUAUUUAAAUUGUUGUAUGUUAUGUAUCAUUAAUUUUACAAACAAUUUAUAUUAAUUACUUAAAAAUACUUAAACUUUAUAUUUCAUGUCUCAUUAUAUUAAAAUAUUAAAUUAAUUUUUUUAUUUUUUAUAUUGUCUAAAAUAUACAUUUUAACUUCCCAGUUCCCAGUGUAAUUUUUUAUAGCAAUACCAAACACUUGAAAUUAAUAAACCGCACUUUUUCAUAAUACUGUUCGACCACAACAUCAAUGGAGAACUAGCUAUAUCCCAUCUAUUUUCUAAAAAAAAUCUAAUUUUCAAAUACAUACUAUUGAGUCCAAAAAUGAUAUUUGCAAGCUAAAAUUGAGUAGUUCUUGAGGUAGUGCUUAAAGGAGUUCCAACUGCUUCAUGCACCAACAACGAAAAAUGCAAAAGAAUGAUGAACAAAUGAUAUAUUUAUGCAGAUUAGUUUCCCUACAUUUGUAGGGUCUUGCCUAGAGAGAAUAUUCAUUAUCUUAGCUCCUUAUACAAGUAGUGUUUUGAGGCUCUAACACUUAUCCGUUUAGACUUUUCACAUUUGUACUUAAGAUCUAGGCACCCCUCCUCUAAAUUUUCCCCUUCAAAACUUAAGGACAUUAACCAAGUCAUACACUUGACUAUUUUACUCAAUGUACUCAAAGAAACAUUCCUCAAUGAACAAGAAUAAGUGCUUUUCAUUCUAUAUAAUACUUAUAUAAGUCUUCCCAAUAUAUAAGUAAUUGAAACAUGCUAACAUACUAUCUCAUUUACAAUCAAUCUUCCCUCAGAAUAAGCACAAUACGCAUAAGGAAUAUCUUCAAACGGCUUAGGAUAAGUCUUGAAUCUCUAAGUUAUACUUCUUAGUUUAGCUUUAUUUGAUUCGAUCCACCAACUUGGGAAGUUAACUACUUCGAUCCAAAUCCAAACCAAUCUCUAAGAUAUGUUGCUAUAUGUAGUUUGGAUAUUGAAGAUGGGCUAGCAAUUGUCCAAACAAUAGGAAUCACAACCUAAUGAUUUUCGUUGCCAAAAUUUAUCAACAUGACAAGUUUCUUGAGCAAACAAUGCUACUACUAGUUGACACUAGUACAAGCACUGCUCAAAAACUACCUCAACACCUUCUAUUUGAUUUUCAUCCGGAUUAGCAGCAAUACCAAACGACCCAUACAGCGGUGUUAAUACAAUUUUUGAAUUUUAUGAUAAAAUUAAAACAUCUUAAAGUAUAAUAAAAGUUAAAUAAAUUUGUUAUUUGUAUCCCAUUGGAGUAGGCUUUGUCACUCUCACCUCACUUAGCCAUAACUUUAUCAACUACAAAACUUUGCUAGUUUUGGACUCCGUGUAUGUAUGUAUACGGCAUAAAGAACGCCUCUAACCUUCCUCACUGGGGAUAGGUGUUAGAUCUUUUUCUGUAUGGAUCACACGUGGAGUUUAUCCUAAUAGCCAAGUCAAUCUCAUCGCUGCCUAUCUAUAAAACUAUCAUGCUCCAUAAGUGGCCAACCACGACAAGACUAGCAACAAACACAUAUCGAGGCUAGAUGCUAGAGAUGGCUAGCCUUACUUAUAAAUAACUAAUUAAGGAGGACUUCUUCAGUCUUGGAUUCUUAUGCUUCAUACACAUCUUUGCUUUUAUAUGACUCUCUACACCUCACUACUAUGUGAACCACCAUCUAUCAUCUUUUAUCUUGUACUUUAAAAAAUUAAAUAAAAUAUUUUGAUGUAAGAUAAUAUUUAAAGUUGAUUGCCAAUUUCAAAAAAAUUACUGAAAUAUAAAACACGAGCCCCUCUAAAUAUUACUAGGUGUUUGGACAUAAAAGGGUUUGAAUAGAUUACUGUAAGUCAAUAUUUUAAUAAUUAAAUUGGUGAUUGAACUGAUUAGAUCACCAAUUUCUAAUUCAAUUAAUUUAAAUUUUGAUUCAACAAUAAUUAAAUAAAUAAUUAUAAAACCGAUUCAAUUACUAUUUCUUUUAGUUUCCAAUUUAAUUAAUCUAAACCACUAACCCAGUUCAAAUAUCAUUUCUUCGAAUUGUCAAUCCAGCUAAAGUUUUUGACCCACUAUAAUAAUAAUAAUAAUAAUAAUAAUAAUAAUAGAUGAAAGACCACGUGAUUGCACCCUGCAAUCCGGCAGGACUAGGGUUCACGAUAAUAAAUUAUGAUUUCCUUCUCUAUGACAAUUUUAAAAUUUUUUAAUCUUAAACUUACAUUAACUUUGAUUUAAUGUAUACUUUAAUACAUAAACGUUAAUUUGGUGUAACCAUACAUAUGAAACUUUGAUUGUAGUUAAUAUAUAUAUAUAUAUAUGAUUUUGAUUUUGAUUCAACUAUACACAUUUAAAGAAAUAAAUACAUAAAUUUAUUUAUUAGAGAAAUAUAAUUAUUUAUAUACCCCAUAUAUAAGCGUAAAAUGAUUCUGCAUUGAUAAUUUUAUUAGCGACUUAUGAAAAUUGAAUCAAAUAAAAAUUUUAUGUAUUAAAAUUGCACACAAAAUCAAAGUUUAUGUAUAAUAUUACAUAUUAAAUCAAAAUUUAUAUAUAAUUUUAAGAUUUAUUCGAAUUAUUUUUGUAUCAAAUUAAAACUUCACAAUGUUAAAAGGUUAAUGCUAUAGAUUUAUCCCAAAUGAAUAAAUAAAUUAACAAUCCCUAGAAAUAAUUGAGGAAAACAAUUAUCUCUUAAAAUGAAUUCCCUAAAAUCUAAUAUGUUUUUAAUUAUCUUUUUAUUCAUAUAAUUACUUACAUAUAAAAUUAUUUUGUUUAUUUUGAAAUUAAAAGAAUACGUAUUGAUAUUAACAAUACUUAUAAUUCGAAACAAAUUGAACAAUAACAAACAAUAGAGAUUCCGCCGAUCAAGUUUUAGUUUAAUUGGCAUGGUUAUUGUUGUCAAUGUAGGAGGAUGUGAGUUCGAAUACGCUGAAGCACAUUAUCCUCUUAUUUGUGGGUUAAAGAGCAGAUAUGAUCAGAAUCUAUAAUAAAAUUAUUAAAAAAAAUGAUAGAGAUUCCAAAGUUUAAUUUGAAAUUAAUUAAACAACAAUAUUAACAAUAAUAUCUUCAUGGAAACAAUGCUUUAGUUUUUUUUCCAUCUAUGGUUAAAUUCUACUAUUAGUCCUUAUACUUUAGAAAAGUUGUGAAUUUAAUCCUUAUACUUUCAUUUGUUCAUUUUUAGUCCUUGUAUUUUCUAAAAUUUAAAAUUUCAAUCCUCACCAAACAGUAACUAUUAAAUUCAUUAAAAUUUUCUAUUUCUAAAAUUUGAUGCGACAAACAUAUCAUCAUAUAUGUAAUGCCAAUGUCAGCCUUAUAUUAUUUCAACAUAUUACUCACUAAAAAUCCAGUUAAUGGAUUAAUAACUAUCAUUUGCAUCAAGAUUGAAAUUUCAAAAUUUGAUGAUUAUAGGAACUUAGCAGAAUCCAAUUGAAGAAAAUAGACUAAAUCUAUAAUUGUAUGCAUAGUAUAAAAUUAAUAAUUAAAUUUAAACAAACAAAUUUAAAUGCUAUUGUUUGGGUGAAAACUAAAAUUUUAAAAAUAUGUGUAAUACAUUUAUAAAAACUUUCAAAGAUAUGUUAUACUAUCUUUACCAUCUUCAAGUAAAAAAAAAAUUCCCAUAGCACAAGCAAUUUCAAAGAAGAAAAGUUCAACCAGUUUCCAACAUUAGAACACCAUAUACAUAAAACAUGAACUUCCUUACAACAGACACAAAUAUCCAACAAACUGAUGUUAAAAUAUGCCAUAAAUCUCUUUACUUUUCAAAAAUUUAGAAUUUAAUUAGUCUCUAUACUUUUAAUUCUAGGAUGUAGUUCAUUUACUUCUCAAAAAACUUUCAGGUCCAACUAUUAACAGUGUUAAAUGUUUUGGUUAAAUUUAUUGGUAUGGCAUUCUGAAAUAAAAAUACUCACUCGAUAGCCAUGUAAUUAAAAAAAUGACGUUAUAAUUAACCUGAAUUUAACAAAAAAAAUUAUCAGUGUUAAUAAUUGGACCUGAAUUUUGAAAUUUGAAAAGUAAAGAGACUAAAAUUUUAAAAAUAAAAAUACAUGGACUAAAUUUCAAAUUUUCAAAGAGUACAAAGAGUUAUGAAAUAUUUUAACAAAAAAAGUACCAAAUUGCACAAAUAGUAUAUUAAUCCUAUUCCCAUUUAGUUCUAAUCUCAUGGGUAUGCCUGAAACCACAAUUAAGUACCAAAGUCCCAUCCAUUCUUCUUAAAGCAAACCUCUCCACCAACACAUAACAAUCAAUUCUCCUCCACCCACCACCAAUCUCCACCACUCUUUCAACCCUCUCAACCCCAUCUACCCACCCCACCAACUCUUCCAACCACCUCAUUCCCUCCAAAACCGCCAAACUCAACCCUAAUUUCUCACCACCAUAUCUAAACCAAACAAACCCUUCAUUAUCCAUUUCACUCCCUCUCAAAACUUCAACCCCAAACAAGAAAUCAAUUUCCCUUUUCAUCUCAACAUUCAAUGUCAUAACAUCCCCUUUACUACUCCCAUCAUUCUCCCAUGAACAUAUCUUUUCCCAUAACUUUUCUAAUGUCACUAUGUAAAACAAUGAUUUCUCCAUUUGAACCCUCAUCAUGCUACUUUCUUUAACGAACACGAAUGGGGUAUACCAUUUCCCGAUAAUCAUGUUUGUCCCGGAAUCGAGUUCCGGGAGCUGUGACCGGAUCGAGUCAUCGAGCCCUCGAGCAUUGUCUUGCAAGUGAUGUACCCUCUUGUUUUCCACAAAAAGGGUGAAUUUGAACCUUAGAAAAGUGGGGGGAAAACUGUGAGGAACAAUGGGUUUUGCAUAAAAACGACCAACAUCAUCACUGCAGAUCCUGAACUGUUGGUAUUGAUCCCUAUGAUCAAAGGGUUUUGGUUCAAUGUCUUGUAUGAUCCUUCUUGAGCAACAGUAACUCAUAUCAUCUUCGGUUGAACACUUAACAGCUAACCUGGUUUUAGGGUUUUCAUCAAAUGAUGAAAGUGUUUUUAAUAUUUCGAUCAUAAUAAAAAGCCAAGCAAUGCUACAUUUAUACUUGUUAUAAAGCAAAUUGCUGUAACGAGUUAAUCGGGUAUCAACUCAAUUGGUAAAAGAUAAAAUACCCUCAUUUUAUAAGUAAUUUGUAUUAUUUUAAGGGUGUUUUUAUCUUUUAUAUAAAAAUUUUUGGAAUGAAUGAAUCAAACAAAUUAACUGAAUUAUAAUAAAUAUAUUAUAUCUUCGAGUAGGGAUGGCAAAAACCGAACCGCCCGAUGGAUUUCAAACCACUCCUUUCCAAAUCGAGCAGAUUUUUCUUUUGAAAAGUAGAUGUGAGGUUGGGCGAGGUGGAUUUUUCUUUUGGAUAGUGGGUACGAAGCGAUUAUGAUAAUUGUUUACCCUCCAACCCGCUCCACUAUAUGAAAUUACCAUUUUAUCAUUGUAUAUAUAAACUAUUAAAAAGGUAAAAAUGUAAUAACCUAAUAUGGGAAAAAAUUCAUAUAUUUUCUAUUUAAAUAAUUUUUUUUGAAGAAUUAUGGUUAAAUAUUUACUUGACUUUAAAAAAGAUUGAAAAUAUUAAAGAUAAGUAGUAAAAAUUAAAUCGAAGUGUAGCAGUAUGGGGUGGGGAUGGAAGAAAGGACUUUUUUGGUUAGAUGCAUGGAAUUGGCUAUCCAUUGAGUUGGUAGUAAUUUUUAAGAUUAUACAUCCAUAGUAGAGCGGGACGGGUGGUUGAGCAGAGCAUGUCACGUUCGAAUUUUGUAAAGAAUACGAAGUAUUUACUGAGAUUCCGAUCAAGCAUGAAUGUGAUGCUUAUCAACACAAACUCCCAUCCACAAAUGAUAGUAACGUAACUAAAAAAAAUUGAAAUUGUAAUGAACCUGAAUUUAGCAAAAUAGUCUUAAGAAUUUUAACAAUUGGACCUGAAUUUUGAAAUAUGAAAAAUAAAAAGAUUAAAUUUUAAAUUCAGGAAGAGUACAGGGACUUUGACAUAUUUUAACCUUUCUUCUGAAGUUUCUUUAAAAAUAAUUGAAUGAAUCCAAUUCUGAAAUCAAAUCCCCACUUUAAAAACAAGUAAAAAGAAAAGAAAAAGAGAUUGUGGUCAUUUACCCUUUGUAUUUUCCAUCAGCAUGGAUGACAUGGUAGCGAUUUGAAGACAAAGGUUGAUGAAGAACAGGGAUGAAGUAGAAAUACUCUCCGAAAUCCGAGUCUGUGUUGAUAAGCAUCGCGUUCGAAGGCAGUGGGAGGUUCUUUAAUAAUCCUUUCGCGUACCCGUUUUGGAAAAGCCCUCUUCCUUCAUCUGCAUCCGCCCCUUCUCGCCCUCUCAACACCAUUAUACCCGAGUGCGGCGCCGCCGCCGCCGAAAGCUCGACCGCAUUCCUCCUAUAAUUUGAAAGAGCCCUUGUCACAUACAUGUUCCCCUUUGUUUCCAGUUGCUACUUCUUAAUUUGGACUUCGCUUAUAUAUUGAAGUUGAAGCAUAAGAGUCUAAUUAAGUCCAGCCAACUACAAACAAAGAAAAAAGUUUGAUUGAGCAUUAAAAUAUUUAAAUUUACUCGAUCAAUAGCUCAAGUUGUUCAAAAUUGAGUCGAUGUCAAUCAAAUUGAGAAGUGAAAUUAUUAUUUGGAGACAAAUAGAUGAGACCAAAUAUUUUGUCUUCAAGUAAUUGGCUUUAAGUUUGAUUGUUGAAAUAAUCAAACAAGAAAUAUUUAUUUGGCAAAAUAUCCAAGGUUUUUGUUUCCUUAAACAAUGGUAAUGAUUUCAAAAUAUUGUUUAAUUAAGGGUUUGAAUAUUCUUUACCAAUAAAAAGAGAUUCGAAUAUUUUGUUAAAUCGUCAAAAUCAAUGAGCUGUUUUUACUUGAUAUAUUUGUUAAUUACGUAACAUAAAUAUAGAUAAACCAAAGUUUAUUAAAUAUAAAUUAUAGGGGGGUCACUCAACUAUUAGUAAAUUAUUUUUGGUCACACAAUUAUGAAAAGUUACAAAAUGACAUCCAAUUAUGUAAUUUUAUCCUUUUUAUCACCAGUUGACAAAUGUAAAAAUGGAAACACUCAAAAAUCAAAUAUAAUUGGAUAAUAAAAAAGAUAAAAUUAAAUAAUUAGAUGACUAUUUUGUAACUUUUUAUACUUAAGUGACUACUAAUAUAGUUUACCCUAAUUUAUAUCCAACGUUGUCAUCAAAAUUAAUAAUUACAAGCAUUAGCAGAAUAAUUUAACUUAAAUUAACUCACCCACACAUAAUUGGUAUAUAUAUAAGUAGUCUUACAUAUGCAUAUUGUAUUAUCUUGUAUUUUUAUAUAUAUGUUAAAAGACUUGUGUUUAUUAGACUUGUUCAUAGGUCGGGUUACCCGGCCUGCCUGAAAAGUGGGAGGGUAUGAACAAAAAUAUAGGCUCGAAAACUAGAUUUGGGUAAAAAAAUUAACCUUGUGUAAGCUUUUCUGGCUCGGGCCCAGCCCGGAUGCCUUAACAAAGUAUCAUUACCUUUUACAAAAGUGUCAAUACCCUGCUUAGUAAGGGUGAGCAAAAUCUGAUUCAAUUCGAAAAAUUAAUAAAAAAUUCAAAUUUUGAAUUAAAUAAUUGGAGUUAUUUGAGUUAAUCAAGUUAUUAUAAAAAAUAAAAUACAAUCGUUAAAUGUGUUUGAUAAUCAUUUUAAUUGUUUACUUGAUAUAAAAUUUUAAACUAAAAAGUAUUGAAUAAGAUAAGUAGGUCGGUAGCUACUUAUCACUUAAUGUAGAAAAAAUUAAGUUGAUUUUAUUUUAUUAAAAAAUCAAAAUAAAUUAUUCUUUUUUUAAAAAAAAAAUCAGAUAUUUCAAUUACCAUAUUUAUCUUUCAUCCAAAACUAUACAAAACAAUAUAAAAUAUUAUCUAAUUAGAUUAAAUUAAAAAUAAAUAAUCUUUUAAAUAUCAAUAUUUAUUUUUAUCAAACAACAUAAUUAUAUUCAGUACUUAUUUUACUAAUUUACCAAACAAUUUUCUAAUAUAAAUUCAACGCUUAUAAAAUGUAGCAAUAAAAAUUUAGUAUUUAAAUUUUCAGCACAUAAAUUUAUAGUUUAUCAAACUUUGAUGUUCUGCAAUUUUAGAAAGUUUGAUUUGAUUCAAUUUUUAUAAAUCAUAGACACCAUUGUCGAUGUAACACCAUUUUAUGUUUAUAUGUUGCAUGCACAAAUAAUUAUAUUUAUCAAUUGUAAAUAAAUUUUUGAUGUAUUUGUUUUUUAAGGUGUACAACGGUAACAAAAUCAAAGUUUCAAGUUUCCAUUUAUACCACAAUUAAAGACUCAUGUGAGCAAUUGCACCAAAUCAAAGGUGAUGUAUCACAUUGCACAUUGAACCAAAUCUAACGUCCAAUUCUGAUUUCCAUCCCCUACUUUACAAAAUUGAAAAGUUAGCUCAUCAACUUUAAUUUGUCGGAAUUUGAUUAUUGUACUUAGAAAAAUAAGUAAGUUUCUAAACUUUAAUUUAUCAGAAUUUUGUCAUUACGGUUUAUGAAAAAUGAGAAGUUAGUACAAUUAGGUAACACUAUAAAAAUUUCUCAAUAAAUUGUUAGCUUGGAAACCAACAAUCUAUAUACAAGAAGUUAGCAAAAAUUAGUAGUUCAAGUUUAUGGAUUUACCAACAAUUGGACUAACUCGUAUGAAGACCAAAAUUUUAACAAAUUAAAAUAAACUGACCAAACUUCUUAAUUUUCAUAAAGCAAAGAAAUCAAAUUCAAAAUGAGACCUAAUUGCAAAAAAACCAUAAUUUUUGACUUCCUAAUUUGAGAUACAAAAUCAUAAUUUAAAGUACAAAAAGAUAAAUUUAUUUUAUCGGUCAAACCUAGAAAUUGUAAUAAACCAUAAAUUUUGAGCUAAAAACCUCACAGGUAAAUAUAUAUUUUGAUACCUAAACUUGAUUUUAAGGUUCAAAUUAGUGUACUUAAGGUUUGUUUUAUCCAAUUAGGUACCUAAAAUUUUUUCGGUCUAAUUAGGUACCUGAAAAUGGGUUUUUGAUUCAAAUAACUAAGUACUAAUUUGGACCAAAAAGCCAAGUUUAGGUACCAAUUUGAAUUCUGAAGCUAAGUUCAUGUACCAAAAAUGUAUAUUUACCCCAUAUUAAAUAGAGCCCUAAGUUUACGAUUAUUUUGGCCCAUUAUAACUUCCUCGUCCUUUUUUUUGUUUUGUCUAUAGUAUUAGGUGGGCGUUUGGUAAGGCGGCUACUCUCGUAGUUUCAUAUAUCCACAAUGGGCAAUAAAGUAAUUUAGACUCUCAUUGAACCCUAAAUUAGGGUUUCUCCUCUUCUUUCUUUUUUUCCCUAUUUAUAACCCGCGCUUCCUCGUCGUCAUAUCUCAUCAGUCAAUAAGCUCGCCUCGCUUUUCUCCGUCGCCAAUUAGCUAUUUGGUCACAAAGUUUUUUUUUUAUUUCUGUUCUUCUAUUUUUUGUAAACUUUCAAUUUCGAUUUCGGUUUUUUUUUUUUUCAAACCAUGAGGUUUAGAUUUUGACAUGAAAAAUCAAUGGAAAUAGAGAGGGAGAAAGGCAAUAAAUUAGAGUCACUGUUGCGCUUCUAAUCUAAAUAGCGACUUCAGCGCUGUACGUUGCCGAAACGAAUUUUUUGGGGACUGAGAUUCUGGCAUUUUGAUUUCAUUUCCUGUAAUUUUUAUGCAUUCAGAUGUCCCUACAUUUUUCCAAUUUUUUUUCAAUUUAGAUUGAGAUGGAUGUGAUGAUAAUUUCCCCAGAUGACCGAAGCUGAACAUUCUGUGCGAUUUUUUAGAUCUCUAAUUCGUUAGAGAUUCCAAGCCAGAACUCUGAUCCAUCUUCAUCUUUUCCAAAUAAUUUUUUUAAAAAAAAUUGUGUUAAAUGGAACCUAUUUGUUAAUAUGGAAGUGAUGAUUAUUUCCCCAGAUGAUCGAAGCUGAACAAACUGUGCGAAUUUUUUCUCUAAUUCGUUAGAGAUUCCAAGCCAGAACUCUGAUCCAUAAUAAUAUUUUGUCAUAUUCUUUGAUUUAAAAAAUACAAAAAUUCAUGUAAAAUAUAAAAAAAAUUAAAAUUUUUUAUGUGAAAAAUUAAUGAUGGAGGCAAAGAUGAAGAGCGCUUUUAUAAUUUCUGACACCUCUUGUAUGAGAAAAGCUUUCUAAAAGCUUUUCUUUGAGCAGAGAUAGCAACUCUCUGAGCGUUCCCAGUCUAUUUUUUCAAUUGUUUGGUUUUAAUUUUAUAUCAAAUAUUUUAUUGCUAAAUCAAAAGUAAAUUUAAUCGAAAAAUUUCAACUUAAUUUUUUGGUAUAUUUAUAGUUUUUAAAUUUAUUUUUAUAUAAAAAAUAAUCUAAAAAAUUAAUAUGAGUGAGGUGGGUUUAACUUUUUUUUAUCCAGGCAGAGUUUGAAUAAAGUUUGAUGCCCAUUCUUUGGGCCAAGCCUUAGCCUAACUUUUUGCAGUAGGCCUGGUCCAUGACUCUAGAUACAAGUACAUCUUUCACACAAAUAUAUUCAAUUUUUUAAAACGUUUUCCCUUUGAAUAGUCAUAUUCAAAUGUAUAUCAAAGACGAAUAAAAAGAAUUAAAAACCCGAGCUGAAAUAAAGGAAAGAUCAUCUACUUUCACAAUUGUUGUAGAGCACCAUAUAAUUGCAUCAAAGCUCACAACCUAAAAAGUCUCAAUCAACAUAAUGAUGCAUUAACUUUUUCUAUUUUAGCCUCCUAAUUUGGUUGUUUCAUGUCUUUUUAAUAUGCUAUACAAGUUUUGAAUAAAGGACCAAGAUGUUUCUUACAGUUACCAUGAUCCUAUGGCACCCUGAGCUGGAUUCUCGAAUGUAGAGAAUUCCCAGUAAGUCUUCAAUGAAUAGGGCUGGUGAAUUGUCACACCUUCUUCUGUGAUCUUAGCUAUCUGCAAAUUCGAAUUUAAAAUACACGAAACAUCAAUAUAAACAAAGUUUUGCUUUGGAUUGUUAAGGAUCAAAUACGAGCCGUUGUGUGAAAUACAUCAACCUAAAGUUACAACUAGUUGAACUAUUGAAUCUUCAUUUCAUUGCAAACACUGUUUUUACUAAUAGUACCAUGGAGGCUCCUGUACAGAGAGUUGAAUUGCAUUUUCUCCCCUCUACUUUGAAAAUGACAAAUUAAACCCUAUCAAAGAGCAAACUAGUCCCUUUGUUAACAUUCCAUUCAUUUCUAAUGUUAAAAAUUAGCCUUUCUAUGUCAGCCUGAGGUAUAUACUAGCAUGCUAUGUGUCACUAUCUACUUAUUCAGUUAGCCAAUGGAUGUAAAUUUAAAAUUUGCUAUUUGAUCUAAUGUAUAAAGACUAAUUGGCCCAUUUUUUGAGUAAAAGGAGGAAAAAUGCAAUUUAACUUAGUACAGGGGCCCCUAUAGUACUUUUACCAAUUGUUCUUCAACAUUAGGAUCUCCAUAUCAUUUAUAAAUGUGUCGGAGAUGUAGCAUGGGUUAGAAGCUUUAAUCCAAAAGAUGGAGUUGGCAUGUUAAAAGGAAAAUAUGAACCUGAAGUUUGUUAACGGCUGAUCUAUCACAAUAAAGGAGAACACGCAUGCAUUUCUCCAGUAAUUUAACACCAUCUUCAAAGCUCAAGUUCUCGUGCCACUCUUGACGGAGGAUUGGCUGUGCAAGGUGAUUACCAAAUCCGGUAGCAACAUGAUUGUCCUUGAAGUUUACACCAAUCAUACUGACCUGAAGAGUUGUAGUUAUAAAAUGGCAAGUUAAAGAACCUGAAACCGCAACUAGCUCACUUUGGAGAAAGAUAUAACUUCAAGCAUACCGUUCCAAGAUACUUGUUUCCGUUUUUAACUCCACCAAGUACAAGGGAGUUCCAUAGUGGAUUGAACUUGUUACGCCUGUUAUACAUAACUCUGAGUCAAGUAAUUGUGCACCUCUUUAGGCCCCAACGAGUUGCCAUCGUCCCACAUAUUGUCAUACAAGCUACAUUAAUCGAUUUUAUGUCAGAAUUCAAAUAACUAAAACGUCAACUACCAUCAAAACCCAAAUGAGAAUUGUGGAGAAAAAAGUAAUACUAAAGCUCAUGAAAGAAUAACCAAAAUACAAGCAUAUCAUUUCUUAAUCGAUACUUACAUAAGCUCAUUGAGAUAACGCAAAAUCUCUUGGAAAUCACUGAUUUCCCCACUUGCACCUAGAAGAGAGUGCUUGCCAAUAGGCUUCAUUCGUUCCACACUCUUGUACCGCAUAUGAACCUAUCAUUCAACAGAAUCAAGGCAUUAAACAGGUGUAUUUGUUAGACAGUGAAAUUGCUACGAUCAAACAAAAAUAUACUAGUACUUGAAACGGCAUACUUAUAGAUCAACCGAAGGAGGUGACAAAAGCCAAAAAUGAAAAUGAGCAAAGCAUACAUGGGCCAAAUGAUAUAGGCAGAAAUGUAUUUUUCAUUAGAAGUACAUACUGGACAUCACAGGUUUGAAGUAGUUCAUCUAAUAAAAGAAGAGUAAAGACUUGAAUUUUAAUGCAAAAGAGCAUGAAGGUUCAUUCCAACUCCGUGCCGUUUCUCUCUAAGAUAAUCUAGCAUCUAUGCGAAACUGCUUCAACCUCCGUUGCUUCAAGUCUUCAUUUUCUUUAAGCACUUGUGUCUCAUGCCCAUUUCCGACACAUAUUUGGCCAAAGGUAUGGGGAUUGGGAAUAUGAUCUCCAAGGACCCUCCAACAACAACGAAACUUAGAACAGAAAAAAUUGAAUAUAUUGUGUCAGACACAUCCAACACUCGUUCAACAACAUCCUUUCACAUCAGUCAAGGCAUUACCUUAACUGACAAUUCUUAAGCUACUUACCAACACUCAGAAUCAGCUAACCGGACCAUCUAUCCUAUAAACAACAUUAUAUACAGCAUUAAAGGGUUGAAGAAUAUUAAGGAACAUACAAUAAUCCACAUUCAUAUCACAAAUCCAUAAACACAGACAAAAAUGGUAAAAGUACCAUGAAGGCUCUUGUACUAAGAGUCAAAUUACAUUUUGCCCCCUUUGCUAAAAAAAUUGGGCAAAUUAGUCCUUGUCAUUUGCUCAAAGUGUAAAUCGGUCCUUUUUGUUAAAAAUAUCUAUUUGUAAUGCUAAAAACUGUGAUACAUGGCAUAUCAUGUGUACCUCGUGCUGGUGUGCAAGGACCAGUUUUUACAAGUAGAUAUGGAUGAAAUUUUUAAUAGGGUACAACAUGCAAUCGUACAGGGGCCUCUACGGUACUUUUAACCCACAAAAAAACAUAAGAAAAAGGCUUCAGAUCAAUGCUUCCUAAAGCUAACUGCCUAAACUCUAUAGUCAUUCACCUGCAUACCAUAUUCAAAGAGCAUAAUCUACUUCCCUAUAACAUCAAUGAUUCAAACACAUAAAAGAAACUGAACAAUUCAGAAAAAAGAUAAAGAGAGCAAUGAAAGUGAAUGAACUGACCUCCCAUAUCAGCAGCCAUUAAAAUCCGAUCUUUGUACUUUAAAGCCACAACUGAUGUUCCAGUCACAUAUGGGUACCUACACAAUUUAAGUAAAAAAGAAGAAGGAAAUUUUCAAAUGCCCAAUUACCAAAGAAAACCCUAGUUCAAUUAAAUCAGACGAAAGAACAUACAGAGUCCUCUGGGAGUCAGAUUGAGAACCGAGUAAGCUAUUUUGAGGAAGUUUUAAAGCCAUGAACCGCACAAGAAACAAAUGGAAAAAAGGGGGUAAAGUAAAUGUUUGAUUGAAUGAAAAGUGUGUUACAUUAAAGAUAAUAAAAAAGGGUUUUUGAAGAUAAUUCAAUGAAAAACUCACAUUCAUCCUGAAUUAAGGGUUUGGAUCGGUAUAUGAAAGAAAAACAGAGCUAAAUUACGAUGUGAUUGAUGCCUACAAAAAUAAUAGAAGUGAGCUUUGCUCUUAAUCUUGAUCAAAACGGGUCCUGCUCCAAUAUCUAUCGGAUUAAAACCCGGGUCUUUUCCCUCGCAUUAUUUCUCCACAUUAAUUUGACCUUAAUUAAGAAGAUGAGAUGAUGACGUGGUUUUUAAGGUUUUUAACAUUUUUGCUACCUCAUCAUUUAAAAGUUCAAAAUAUUUUAUAUAUUAUUAAAAUAUUAAAAUAGGCUUAAUAUAUAAAUUAAUCUCUGAAUUUAACAAUUUUUCUUACAUUAAAAUUUUUUCAAACCAUAUUAGUUUCUAAGGUUAGUAUCCGUUGGUCCUUAAAUUAACACCGAUUUUUUUUAGAAUUUAUCAAUGUGAACAAGCAUGGAACUAACAUGUGGAGAAAUAAUGAAACAAGUAGUAAAUUGAUCUUUAAUUAUUCUUAAAAAAAAUUAAAAAACCUUACAAUUUUGAAAGAAAUUUAAAAUUUGUUAAAAACUAUAAAAACUAUAUAAAUUAUAAAUCUUAAAAAAGAAUAUAUGUAUAUAGUGAAAAUAAAUAAAUUUGGUUAAAUUUUUAGUAAAUUACAAGAUAUUGUAAAAAUAUAAAUUAAAAAAAAACUUUAAAGAUUAAAGAAACAAAAAUUGACCGGUUGAUGUGGUCAAUUCCCUAUUAGUGUUGGUCAAUGCUGGUCAAGCCCGAUUAACUUUGGUCAACGCCUCGUCAAUUUUUCAUUUUUCAUUUUUUUAACUUUCUAAAAAUGAUUUUUAUAUUAUUUAAUUUUAUUUUUAUAUAUUUCUAGAUUUUUAAAAAAAUAUUAUUUUUAUUUUUUAAAGUUGAAUAUUUAAAGAGUAAGCUUUUAAAUGUUAAAUUUUAACUUAAUUCAUAUAUAUAUAUAUAUAUUAAAUUUUUUGAAUUUUUAUAAUUUAUAAUAUCUCUUAAAAUUUUUAAAAUUUUCUGAUUUUUAAAUUUUUUAAAAUUUUUUUAGCAAAUUCUUCAUAAAUAAAUUGUGUUAGUGUAGGGACCAAUCUAUGUAAUAGAUGUAAAUCUUAGGGACCACUAUGAUAUAAAACAUUAUACUUAUAAAAAAAUAUUUUUAAAAAUUUUAAGUGAUGACAUGACACAUUAAUAGAAUCUAGGUGUAGGGAUUAAAUUGGAAAAAAAAAACUGCCAUGUUCUAAGAGUUAUAACAACCAAAAAAAAAAAGUUCAAGGAUCAAAGUGAGAAAAGUUGCCAAGCUUAUGGACUAAAUAUUACUUUAUCCCCUUUUUUAAAUGCAAUUAAUUUUAGUUUACAUAAUUUACUAUGUAUUAGCUUUAGGUAGUUAUCUCUAGAUUAAUUUCGAUUUUGUCUAAUUUUUUAUUUACUAUGUAUUGUAUAUUUAUUUUGUAUACUAAUAAAAACUCUGAAAAUUUUACAAUAAUAGUUAUAAUUUUAUAUCAUUAAUUAAUCAAAUUAACUGCACAGCCAAUAUUCAUCAAUUUUACAAUUUAAUUUUUUAUACACUAAUUUGAUCAAUUUUAGUUUUUAUACUUUUAAAAUUUUAAAAUUUCAGUUUUGACUCAAAAUAAUAGUACUUAAUCUUAUUUGAUUAAAUUCUACUAUUAGUCAUGUCCUAUGGAUAAGUCGUGGAUUUACUGCAUGUUUUUCAAUUAAAUUAUUUUCAGUGCUUAUAUUUUUUGAAAUUUAAAAUUAAAAUCUUCACUAAAAAAUUAAUAAUUAAAUCUAUUAAUUGACAUUAAAAUCUACUAAUAGUCUUGUUAAAAUCUUUCAGUUACUCAAUUAUAAAAUUAUCAAAAACAUCCUGAAAAAAAAAGUACUGCAUGCUUUAGUAAAUUCAUAAUAAAUAACUAAAUUAUUAUAAAAAAUUACACACUAUUCAUGUAAUCCUUUUACAAACACCCAAAGAUAUGAUCUUUGACAAUUUUUUUCUUUUUUCUCUUUAAUUUCAUAUUUUCUUCUAAACAUUUUAUGAAUUCCUUUAAACUUACAUUUCAUUUUGAAUAAGCAAACAAUAUAAGAUAUGUUGUAAUGGCUGUUAUGUGUGUUUUUUUUUUUUUUUUUAAAUUUCUAACUUAAAUUGAAGACAGCCAUAACAUUUUAAAAUUCAAUCUAGAGAUUUCUUAAUCUCAAUUUGGUGAAGAUUGAUAUGGUGAAAUAAGUCAAGAAAAGAAUCAGAUUACUUUGAAAGACAUAGGCAACUACUUUUGGGUGGGCAUAGGAGGGUUGAGAUUGGAAUUUUUUAAAAAUCCGACAUUGAAUUGACUUGGUCCGAAUCAUGAAUAUCUCUAAUUAAAAAUUAUACAAUAUAAAAAAUAAAUAUUGGGUUCGUGCCUAAACACUCUAUUGCUUGGAUGGCAAUCUUAAACAAACUUCUCACUGGCGAUAGAUUGUUUAGUGAUGGUAUGAGUUUUGAUCGUCGUUGUCUGUUGUGCUCUGAUGCUUUUGAGUUUUGAAAUCAAAUUUUUUUUAGUGUUUCUAUUCUAGAGGUUUGUGGCAACUUGUUCUGGGUUUAUGUGGCAUAGGAAGUCUGUUGGUACGUGGCUUCAAGAAUUUAACUAGGUAAUUUCCUGUUUGAAAUGUAAAUAAUUCCUUGUCUAUCUGCUCAAGCUGGUAUAGAGAAUGCAAUUGUGUAUUUUAUUUGGUGUGAAAGGAAUAGUAGGCUAUUUGGGAAUUCUUCUAAUUAUGUUGAAGUUUUGUUGAAAAAAGUUACAAAUGUACAUUUUGGUCUUAGUGAUAGAUGUCUCACUGAUUUAGACCCUGUCAAUAACUGAUUAUGUUUGCAAGGAGUUUGAGAAAUGCAUAGGAUAGGCUUCUGGUUUUGGUUGAUGUAAUCUGUUAUAUUUUUUGGUUUUGUAUAAGUUCUUAUUGUACAAUUAUAAUUUGGUGGUUGUGGAUUAUUGAAUUAUUGAGUUAUAAUAAAAGAAACCCAAAAAACACACAAUUUUGAACUUAACCUAUCUGUUGCGGAAAGGAUCGAUUCGAGAACUCCGAUAUGACUACAAGUAAAUUGACCGAAACGAAAAAUAAAGUGAACACAAGGAUUUACGUGGUUCGGCUUUAAAGCCUACGUCCACGGGCAGAGGCGAAAAGAAAUUUCACUAUAACAAGAUGAAGAUUACAAGUGUUUUACACUCAAGACACAACCCGAGAACCUCACAACUCUCAAUCCCUAUAGAAAACCCGAAAGCUAAAAUCCUAGCUUUCAAAGAACAAGCUUUGCUCUCUCUUGGUUUGGGAUGAUCAAUAUGGCUAAUGAACCUCUCUAUUUAUAAGAGAGUUCAAGGACAUAAUUGUCCAAAACUUUGGCAAAGAUUUGUGGUUGAAAAUGGACACCAACAACCAUCCACUAAUCCACUACCACCAACAACCCACUACCAACAACAACAAUCCACUACCAAUUUUAAGCCAUUUCUUAACAAAUCUCCACCUUGGCUUGAAAUUUACCAAGCUGAACAUCAUAGUGAACUGGAUCACCUCUUCCAAACGCCUCUCUGGCGCUAAUCAAUCCCGAAUACCUAUCAAGUCCAAGCAAUGCUUGAACUUAUAUGCAGGGAUCACCUUAGUUAACAUAUCUGCAGGAUUCUUCUCGGUAGCAACCUUGCUGAUAACAAUGUCACCUUGCGUAACAUGUUCCCGAACAAAAUGAUAUCUGACAUCAAUGUGUUUGGUCCGUUCAUGAAACAUCUGAUUUUUAGUCAGAUGUAUGGCACUCUGGCUAUCGCAAAAUACAACAGUGAAAUCCUGUUGUAAACCCAAACUGCUUACUAGACCUUUCAUCCACAAUGCUUCUUUCACUGCUUCUGCUAACGCCAUAUAUUCCGCCUCAGUCGUAGAUAAGGCUACGGUAGACUGUAACACAGCUUUCCAACUAAUGGCUCCUCCAGAAUAAGUGAAAACAUAACCCGUCAGAGAUCUUCUUUUGUCCAGAUCUCCAGCAUAAUCAGAGUCCGCAUAGCCCGUGACACUGCUAGUGCAGUCACUCUGAUCAUAUACCAAGCAUAAAUCUGCAGAACCUCUCAAGUACCUGAGAAUCCAUUUCACGGCCUGCCAGUGUUCCUUGCCAGGACAACUCAUGUAUCUGCUGACCACACUAACUGCAUGUGAAAUGUCUGGACGAGUGCAAACCAUUGCAUACAUCACGCUUCCAACUGCACUCGAGUAUGGAAUGUGAGACAUUUGCUGCUUUUCUUCAUCAGAUUGUGGUGACAACUCUGCAGAGAGUUUGAAAUGUGGUGCCAACGGAGUACUCACAGUUUUCGCUUUAUCCAUGCCGAAGCGUUGAAGAACCUUUUCAAUGUAGUUCUUCUGCGACACACGAAGCUUGCCCGCCUUGCGAUCUCUGUGAAUAUCCAUGCCCAAAAUUUUCUUGGCAGCACCCAGAUCCUUCAUCUCGAACUCACCACUCAACUGCGACUUUAACUUGUUGAUUUCCGACAUGUUUUUGGAAGCAAUUAACAUGUCAUCAACAUACAGCAACAAAUAAAUGUGCGAACCAUCUGAGAGCUUCCGAUGAUAGACACAAGCAUCAUAGUCACAUCUUGUGUAACCAUGCUGAAUCAUGAAGCUAUCAAACCGCUUGUACCACUGCCUUGGGGAUUGUUUCAAUCCAUAUAAAGACUUCUUUAAUAGACAGACAUGGUCUUCUUUACCAGGAACUGUAAAACCCUCUGGUUGACGCAUGUAGAUUGUUUCCUCGAGCUCACCAUGCAAGAACGCCGUUUUUACGUCAAGCUGCUCAAGUUCUAGAUCAGACUUGGCCACCAUGGCAAGUAAUAUACGAAUGGAAGAAUGCUUUACGACUGGGGAGAAAACUUCAUUGUAGUCAAUCCCCUCUUUCUGAGUGAAGCCUUUAGCAACCAAUCGUGCCUUGAAUCUAGUUGCUUCAACCCCUAGGAUGCCUUCCUUUUUCUUGAAGACCCAUUUGCAACCAACUAUCUUCUGGUUACUUGGCGGCUUAACCAACUCCCAAGUAUGGUUCUUGUGAAGAGAUUCUAUCUCCUCACUCAUAGCAAUUGCCCACUGUGCCGACUCAUCACACGUGACAGCCUCAUUAUAACUGGAAGGUUCUAUACCAAUGGACUCCGCCACACUGAGCGCGAAAGACACCAGAUUAGCGUAACGCGGAUUUGGUUUGAUUUGUCUCUUCGUUCUUCCAGUGGCAAUGCUAUAUGGUUUUUCUUGAGGUGACUCAUCUUCAUCGGAAUCUUGCACCUCAACUUGAUCAUCCUGGACUGAAGUACCUUCCGUAGGAAUUGGAGCGUCCACCUGACACUCCACCUGCUUCUCAACACCGUGAUCUCCCAUUCUAUCUGACUCCUCCUUUUCCCGGGAAUUUGUGGUGGAUCGAAGCAUGGAUGACUCAUCAAAAGUCACAUCUCUGCUGAUGAUGAACUUGGACGAAACCGGAUCAGGACACCACAACCUGUAUCCUUUCACCCCUUGGCCGUAUCCAAGAAAUAUGCAUUUCUUCGCCCUCGGUUUGAGUUUUCCCUCAUUUACAUGAGCAUACGCAGGGCAGCCAAACACUCUUAAACCAGAGUAAUCAGCAGGAGAACCAGACCAUACUUCCUCAGGAGUCUUCAGCUCAAUAGCUGUUGACGGAGAUCUGUUAACCAAAUAACAAGCAGUAUUAACAGCUUCAGCCCAAAAUUCUUCACCGAGCCCAGCAUUUGAUCGCAUGCAACGAGCUCGCUCCAAGAGAGUUCUAUUCAUGCGUUCUGCAACUCCAUUUUGUUGUGGUGUUCGACGAAUAGUGCGGUGUCUCACUAUUCCUUCAUUCUUGCAGAACUCAUUGAAUUCACCUGAGCAAAACUCCAAGCCAUUAUCCGUCCGGAAUCGCUUGAUCUUCUUUCCUGUUUGAUUUUCGAUCAAAGCUUUAAAUUGCUUGAAGUUGAUGAGAACCUCAUACUUGCUCUUCAGAAAAUACACCCAAACCUUUCUCGAGUAAUCAUCGAUAAAGGUAAGCAGAUAUCUGUAACCACCUUUAGAAAUUGUCGGAGAAGGCCCCCAAAGGUCAGAAUGGAAGUAAUCCACUGUGCCUUUUGUCUUGUGAAUCCCAGUGCUGAACUUUACCCGAGUCUGCUUACCGAAGACGCAGUGCUCACAGAAAUUCAACUUUCCUGUACACUGCCCAGACAAUAAUCCUCGUUUGCUUAGCACCGAUAAGCCUCUCUCGCUCAUAUGCCCGAGCCGCAUAUGCCAUAACUUCGUGGUGUCAGAAUCUAGAUCAUCUGAUGAUGACACUCCCGCAACACCUGUAACCGAGGAACCAUCGAGGAAGUAAAGGCCCCGCUCCAAAUUACCACGUAUCACAGUCAAAGCACCCGAGAAUACCUUGAGAACUCCACCUUCAGCAGAGUACCGAAAGCCUUUCUUGUCCAACGUACUCAAAGAGAUCAAAUUUUUCUUCAUUUCUGGAAUGUGCCGAACAUCAGUUAGAGUUCUAACAAUACCGUCAAACAUCUUUAUACGAACUGUGCCAAUCCCCAUGACUUGACAUGCGUGGUCAUUUCCCAUUAGUACUGAACCAGAAUGCUUCUCGUAUGUUGAGAAUGCAUCUUUCGAAGUACUUAUAUGAAAUGUAGCUCCCGUAUCAAGAAUCCAUCUCCCACCAGCGUAAGAGUCGGAUACUGCAAGAACGAUCUCGGCAUCACUUGAAGAAUCUGCAUCAGCUACAUUCGCACGAUCAUUUUGUUGCUCCUGUGAUUCUGAUUUCUCCUUCCUUUUCGGACAAUCUACCUUCAUGUGCCCGUACUUCUUACAGUAGUAGCACUGUAUUCUCUUCUUGGACUGCGAUCUAGGAUGGCUUUUACUUGAACUUCCACCCUUUGCCUUGGAUCUUCCUCGAGCAACCAAGCCUUCGCCUUCAUUGUUUUCGACCACCUUACCAGUGAUUUUCUUCCUCAACUCACUGGAACUUAAGGCAUUUUUCACCUCCUCUAGAGUCAGGUCAUCACGACCGUACAUCAUUGUAUCAACAAAAUUCUCAUACGAGGGAGGCAAAGAACACAAAACAAUUAUUGCUUGGUCCUCAUCAUCGAUUUUGUUAUCGAUAUUAUUCAAAUCCAUGAUAAUGGAAUUGAAUUUAUCCAGGUGCUGGGAAACAGGUGUACCUUCCUCCAUCUUCAGGGCAUAGAGUCUUUGCUUGAGGUAGAGCCGGUUCGUCAAUGACUUCGUCAUGUACUUGCUUUCUAACCGGAGCCACAAACCGGACGCGGUUUUCUCAUCCGCUACUUCUCGUAGCACUUCAUCUCCUAGACAUAGCAGAAUAGCACUAUGUGCUCUUUCUAGCAUGUCAUCCUUUUGCUCUUCCGAAAGCGUGCUUGGUAAUUUAUCUUUACCAGACAAUGCUUUUAGCAAUCCUUGUUGAACCAGCACUGCCCGCAUCUUGAUGCGCCAUAAACUGAAACUAUUUUUCCCGGUAAAUUUCUCGACAUCAUACUUAGUCGAUGAAACACUUGUAGCCAUAAUUUGGAACCUUUGAAUGAAUGAUAAUAUUUUCUUCCUGAUGUGAAAGAUCAGACAAAGCUGCAGUCACAGGGCAAUUCAGAAAAUAUUAUCACUCCUUCAACUACGCUCUGAUACCAAUUUGUUGCGGAAAGGAUCGAUUCGAGAACUCCGAUAUGACUACAAGUAAAUUGACCGAAACGAAAAAUAAAGUGAACACAAGGAUUUACGUGGUUCGGCUUUAAAGCCUACGUCCACGGGCAGAGGCGAAAAGAAAUUUCACUAUAACAAGAUGAAGAUUACAAGUGUUUUACACUCAAGACACAACCCGAGAACCUCACAACUCUCAAUCCCUAUAGAAAACCCGAAAGCUAAAAUCCUAGCUUUCAAAGAACAAGCUUUGCUCUCUCUUGGUUUGGGAUGAUCAAUAUGGCUAAUGAACCUCUCUAUUUAUAAGAGAGUUCAAGGACAUAAUUGUCCAAAACUUUGGCAAAGAUUUGUGGUUGAAAAUGGACACCAACAACCAUCCACUAAUCCACUACCACCAACAACCCACUACCAACAACAACAAUCCACUACCAAUUUUAAGCCAUUUCUUAACACUAUCUAUAUAUAUUCUUCUUAAUUAAAGAAAAAAAAAACCCUAAAACACCAUGAAGUCACUAUACAUUCAAAUGCAUAUCCCAUAUGCAUUUCAAUCCGAAUCCUUCAUAACUCAGUCAUUCAUCAAAACUCGGAAUCUGUCAAUUUUUUAUCCAACUCUUUGCCCUCAAUGAUUCGAAGCACAUAAUGUAUUCCAUUAGCUACAUCAUAGACCAUCAAUCCAAUCCUACCACCCAUAUAACCUCCCAAAUGGCUUCCCACAAGAUAACCAAACUUCCCAAGCACUUGUUCACCGAAAAAUCCCCCACCGUAGGCACCAAGCAAUGUUCCUUUGCCCCUAAAAAACCCUUCCGACAUAGUCCCACCAUAGUAAACAACUUCGAAAAAGUCCCAACCGGACGAAAUGAUCGGACCCGUUACGCGCUCAGCCUUUUGCGUAGCCAGCUUGGCCGCUUUUUUCCCGGCCUUUGUGGCUUGUUUUGCCGCCUCCUUGGAGGACAGGCCUUGUGACAUCGCGUCUUGUAACGCCUUCUGCAUUGCUAAGUUCUUUGAUUUCUCGACAUGAGCGGCUCGGAUGUUGUAGACAUAAAGUUUAACACCUUCUUUCACUGCGCAAGCUAUGGAACCAACUCCCAUAUCAAAGCAAUCCCACAAUGAAAAUUGCCCUGUUUGGGAUAAUACCACUUUCUCUUCCCCAGCCAGUUUCCUGCACUUAUCAGCUAUAACAUGAAAGAAAUGAAAAAGAAAAUUUUUUAAAACCAUACAUAGUAAGUACCUACAUACAUAGGUAAAAGUACCAUAGAGCCCCUAUAUUAGGAGUUGGAUUAUAUUUUACCCAUUUUAUCAAAAAAUGGAUAAAUUUAUCCCAAUACAAUAGAUCAAAGAGCAAGCCGGUCCUUUCUAUUAAAAAUUUCAUCAAUUUUUACUGUUAAAAAUUGACGUGGUUGAUGAAACAACUAGACAAUUACCUAGUGCAUGUCAUGUUGACAUAUAAAGGUAAAUUUUUAACAAUGAAAAUGAAAGUUUUUAACAUAAGACUAAUUUGCUAUUUGAUCUAAAGUACAAGAAUUAAUUUACUCAUUUUUUAAGUAAAUGAGCACAAUUUAGUCUGACUUAUAAUACAAAAGCCUCCACAAUACUUUUACCUAUCUCUAUACAUAACUAACAUUGAGCAAAAUAUGCACGUAAAAGCUAAGAAAAAGAAGCUAGAUAAAGUAAAUUCAAACAAGGAUGAAAGUUUUUUGCUAGCUCAUGAUGCUUCUUCAACUUGAUUUUUAUGUAUAUAUACUCGCUCAAAAUCGAAUUUUAUUCGAUACUUUAGCUUUCUAUUUCGACCAUAACUCUUAAAAGAUUUAUCUAAUCCCAAUCCCAUGACUAUUCAUAUGAAAAUUUACAUAAUGUUUUAUAUUAUAUUAGCUUUUACAAAAUUAAUCCCAUUUAUAUGUUACAAAAAUAUAAAAAGUGACAUUUUAAUAAAUAUAUCUAAGCGAAACAGAAAUUAAUUCUAAAAAUUUUAAUAAAAAACUCGACCUUGGUUCAAACUCAAUUUUUAAAAACAAAAAAUCACCCUAUAUGGCUGGGGUGGAUGGAAUCUCGAUAACUUGAAAGGGUUUUUGUCGGGUUUGUAUUUCACACGAGUAUAUUAAAACUUUUAUAAAUUAUUUCAUAUAUUUUUGAAAGAUUCUAUACACAUUCUCAUGUUUGAAUGUGCUGAAUCCAAAUAUGUACUUCAAAAUAAAAAAUCGAAAUAACUCUAAACAGAUAUACCAAUUUGAUCCAUAAAAGAUAACAAAGAAGAGAGAACAAUCAAGAACAUUGAAUUUUACAAACUUGAAAUUAACUUGGAGAUUUAAAUUCCAACAUUUACGACUUCUUUUAUUUUCCAGACCAAAUGCAAAAACGAGGACGUUUUGAGGCUGUUACCUGUCUUACUGAGAAGGGUGAGUCCAAGGAUGAAGAGCAGCAGCUGAACUCUUUUUUUGUUGAGAUCCAUUGGCAACAGUUAAAAAAUGACAGAAAAAAAAUUGGCUAAUCCUAUUUACUACUAUUUUUGUUACUCCUAAUUUGAAGGAUCAAGGAGGAAGAAGACCAGAUCUAUGGCUGCCACGUCUACUCAAUUAUUAAGCUAAGCAACUGAUGGAAUUUAUCCAACAACAUUUUUUGCAGAAAUUUAUUUUCAUUGAAAAUUAUUGAAAUACAACAAAACCUAUUCAUACAUAAUCAAAACACACUUUGAUCCAAUCUCCAGUAAAUUAUACCAACUUUAGAGACAUGUUUUUUUCCCGUCAAACUACAUACCCAUAGUAGCCCAAGACACAUACAGCUUUCGACCAACAUGGUCCAACUUUCGAUAGUAUGCAUGCCUCCAAGACCUGAUGAAAAACAAGGGAGCCACUACACCCCAAAAUCCCAUUACAAAGCCGAGAACUAUGCUGACAUAAAGCCAAUUCACUUUACUUCCUUCCCUGCUACUUCCAUUAUUUGCAACGUCAAUUGGAAUACCUUUUGAGGUGCAGUUCUUAGUGAGAGGAGGUCCACAAAGAUGAUUGCCCACGUAAGACAAGUUUUCAAAGCUUUGAAGCUGAGUGCUUGUUGGGAUUUGUCCUGUCAAGUUGUUGUGGGACACAUUGAAGUGAUUCAAGAAACUCAAAUUGGAGAAACUUGGAGGGAUUUCACCAUUUAGUCGAUUCAUGGACAAAUCAAGAGAUUCCAUUAACUCUAUGUUGCCAAUGCUGUCUGGUAUAUUUCCUGUUAGGAGAUUCCCUGAAAAAUUUAAAGACAAUAGUCCAACGAGACUACCAAUUUCUUUGGGGAUCUCUCCUGUGAGACUGUUAUCUGAAAGGUCCAUGCUCGUAACAAGUCCUAGUGUGCUACCAUAUUCAUCCUCUCGUCCUUUCAACACCAAUAAUGCGUUCAAAAAAAAGGAGUCAGCAUCUACAUACUUCACAAAAACAAAAUUAUUGGUUUUGUUUGUUGUGGCCAUUGCACUUAAAUUAUUGAAACAUUUUGGAAUAACUCCAGAAAUGUUGUUGUGGGCAAGGUCCAAGUUUUGAAGAAAUUGAAGAUCACAAAUUUUAUGAGGAAUAUGUCCAUCAAAGUUAUUUGAUCGAAGGCUUAGAGUCACAAGGUUUGAGAGCUUAUCACCAAUCCAUGCUGGUACACUUCCACUGAAAUGAUUUUCACUAAGAUCAAACAUAAUGAAAUUUGGAGAAUUUUGCAAUGUGGAUGGCAAUUCUCCAAACAUGGUAUUGUUUCGAAGGUUUAGCAUUAUAAAAUUUAGAUGCCAUAAAGAAGGUGGGAUUUUGCCGGUCAAAUUGUUGCUUCCCAAAUUUAAAAGGCCUAAAACCUGCCAAUGAUUCCAACAAUCUGGAAUAUCUCCUGAGAUAAGAUUUUUAUCAAUGUAAAGAAUUUCCAUAAAUUCCCCACUUGAUGAAUUACAAACUAAUUCAAAAAGAGAUCCCGAAAAUGAAUUAUUUGAUAAAAUUAGAAAUCGUAAACUUGGGAAUACUCUUGGCAAUGGGCCUAUGAAUCGGUUUGAACUCAAAUCAACAAAGCUGCUCACAUUCAAAUAUGAAAUCUCUCCUCUAAGUUGAUUCGAGGAAAGGUUUAAAUAUUCAAAUGGAGUGGGAAGGUUCAAAAACCAAGUGGGCAUGACAUCUGAAAUUCCUGCAUAGGAGAUAUCCAAAUAAGACAAUUUCUUUUGGAAUUUUAGCCACUGGGGAAACUUUGGGCCAAGAUGCCAGUGACCCAAUUCGAUACUUUCACAUUGAAAUGGGGGAAUCCAGCUUGAGUUUGAUUCAAAUCUAAGCCGAUUGUGUGAUGCUGCUAGAGUUGUCAAUCUCGUGAGAUUAGAAAAAUGGGUUUCUGAUACAACGCCUUCUAAUAGAUUAUACCCACAAUCCAGAGUUUCCAAACUUUCUAGUCGUCCAAAAGAUAGAGGAAAUGUACCAUUAAAUUGAUUUUCUGAAACAUCAAAUACCUCCAAAGAUGACAACGGCCCUAUAGACAAGGGAAUUUGGCCGUUUAAUUGAUUUUUUGAAACAUCAAACCACUUCAGAGAUGAUAACUCCCCUAUAGACAAUGGAAUUUGACCAUUUAAUUGAUUUUCUGAAACAUCAAACUCCUCCAAAGAUGACAACUGCCCUAUAGACAAUGGAAUUUGACCAUUUAAUUGAUUUUCUGAAACAUCAAACAACUUCAGAGAUGAUAACUCCCCUAUAGACAAUGGAAUUUGACCAUUUAAUUGAUUUACCGAAAGAUCAAGCUGAGUAACAGAGCUCAAGUUUCCAAUGGCACUCGAGAUUGUUCCUUGUAACUGGUUAUAGCCAAGACUAAGGAACUGAAGACGGUUUAAACUGUACAAGGAGUUGGGUAUGGAUGAAUUGAGAUGAUUCCCACUAAGAUCAAGAACUUCAAGAAACGAGAUGUUCCGAAAGUAAUCUGGAAUUGGGCCUUCCAAAGAAUUGACACUAAGAUCAAUGGACACAAGACCAUGAAGACUAAAUAUCCACUUAGGUACUGAAGAUAAGCUGUUCCAAGAAAGAUCAAGAACAACCAGUGAUUUUG
rnacentral:lncRNA from 1 species